GGUAAUUGACCAAAAUGAGUACAAAAUAAUCAAAUCCAAUAAGUCGCAAUGUGCUCGAAACCGGUUUAUACAUAUCGACCAUCAAAACAUCGUAUGCGAAGGUGAAAACACGGUGAAAUAUUCGAUUACUUUAUUGAACCGUUGGUGGCAUGGCGACAUAAGUCGUUGAAUCCAUUAAUUAAAUCGGGCAAGCAUGGGACGGAAUAAUAAUAUAAAACUCUAUUGCCAUAUUUACACAGCGAUCAAGCAUCUUAUCCAUAAUAUAUUGAUUUAAAAUGAGUGUCACAAUGAUAGCACAUAAGAUUGUAUACAGGACGCAGGACGCAUUCACCAGUAUAUGCAGUAGCAAAAUAAUCCCAAGCGGUAUAGGCAUUAGCAACGUGCAUUUUCCAGAAAUUUAAUAAGUUGGACUCAAGAAAUCCAACAGUAAUAAAAUAACAACAACUCUAAUCCAAAAUUUCAACAAAAUCACGUUUUAAACACACACUUAAACAUACAUUCAAAUCAGAUCCGCAACCCAGCAUACGCACAACAAAGAUUGAAAUGAUCAUAAACAACACAGCCGUAAUCAACAUAUUAGUUUUAACCCAACGAUUUCAUCAUGAAAUAAAAAAAUGAAAUUGUCACAACAGCACACAACAACGAUAGAUUGGAAGAAACUUGAAGUUGUUACCGAAACGUGACUCUUCGAAACUUGGAGCUGUUUGAGUUUGUUGUUGUUAUCCGGACGUGUUGGUGAUGUCGCUGUAAUUACUUCAGUCCCAAAUUCCAAGUCUGGCUUAAAAAGCGAAGAUACCGACGAUGAGAAAACACAAGCUCUUGGGUGUUGUUACUGUGCUGUGAUCCAUGUUUCCCAUAGCUCGCCACUCAUCUGCAUCGCUGCUUGUGCGUUCAUUUUCCUGUCAACAAUAACAUCCAAAUUCCACAAACCCAGUUCAGAAAAAAGAACUUAGAAGUGGGUUUCUUCUCAAGUUAACACCCAUACUAUGGUUUACCGAAACUGAAAUCAGUCAUUUUCCAGAUUUUCAUUUGCGUUUUUUGGUGAUUUGUGUGAUGUUUAGGGUUUAGCGGCGGUAGAGAGGCGAUUUGGGGGUUUUGAUGAAGGUGUUGAAGGGUUUGACGGUGGUUUUGUGAUGGCGGCGGAGUGAGCGAUUUGGGUUUCGUGAGAGGAGGCGGAGGUUGUGAUGGGUUUUGGAUGGUGGUGUUGGCGGUAGACGGCGGCGUGAAGUGGUGAGUGAGGGACGAUUUUGAGGGUAGUGAUGAGGGUUUGUUGGUGUAAAUCGGUGGGUUUUGUGGUGGUUGUGGAUUUGGUGGGCGGAUGAAGGCAAGGCGAUGAUGAUGACGGCGAGGGUUUUGGUUUUUGCUGUGAGCGGAAGAUGAAGAGUUUAUGGUGGUGAAGAGAGUGGUUUGUGGGUUACGGAUUUUCUGAGUGAGAGAGAGAAAUGCGUGUGUGUGGAGUGUUUUCAGAGAGCGAAAUAUGAGUGUGUAGUGAGUGAAAGGAGACGUUGAGUGGAGAGAUAUAGCGUGAGAGAGGGACGCGUGAGGGAUCUCUGAGAGUGAGUGAGGGAGUGAGGGUUGAGUGGGUGAGGUGACCAAUGAGAGGGUGACACGUGUGAGAGUUUGUUGAGAGGAAAAUCUAAACCGAUUUUCUCCUCCUUUUUUUUUGUUUUCUUCGUAAGAGGGGGAUCCAAUGUAAAAAAUAAAUAUAUUUUUCACACUUAUUAUUUAAAAUCAUUAUUUUUUAAAGAAAUGGAAUUAUAAAACGAAUUCUAAUUAAUACUUAAUUCAAACAAAUUUUAAUUUUUUAAUUAAAUAACUAAACCAAAGAUUAUUGACCAAUUUAGAAAAUAGAAAUUGAGCGCAAAUUUUAUUCGGAAAAUUAAGCCGGUCACACUAAAAUUGUCAGCACAAAACAUACUUAUUAAAAAAUACAGUCUUUUCCUCGAAUUUUAACGAUUCAACCGAUUUGUCUGUAUUCUCAAAAUAAAUUCAUUCCGACUAACAUUUCAGGUAUUAUUCAUGAUGCAAUGUAUGUCAUGCUAUGCAUAUGAUGCAAAAAAUAAAAAUGAAAUUAAUUCUACAAAAAUUUAAAUAUGCCCGGACAAAAUUGGGGUAUGACACCAUCGAACUUUAUUUAUUCCUAAAAGGGAAAGGGGAAAUAUCGAUAAAACCCAAGACAAAAGAAAAGGAUAAGAUAUGGUCAUCGCAACCAAUAUCAGGGUUCGGGAGUCGAUUACGCAAGGGGAAGGUAUUAGCACCCCUCACGUCCGUUGUACUCAACGGGAACCAUUAGGUNNNNCGCACACACACAUGCGGAGCACGAGGAUGAACUAACAAAAGAUAUUAUGAUAGUAUCAAAUGUUGAACUUGUGGGAACUUGUAUGACUAAUUCAAGAGAAUACCAGGUUCAAAGCCAGGCUACUGCAGAUAUAAAAAGGAAGGGUUCCUUCAUUCUCAGUUUCCGGGAUUUUGAGGCGUGAAGAUUGUGUGUCCAUCAUGACUUUCACUGCUUGUACCCUUUAUAUGUGAGCUCCUAUAUUAGACGUAUCUUGUGAGCAAGCCAUUAUAAGUAGAUGAUAGCUUGGCAUUUGGGUGUUCAUUGAGUGUAAGUGUUGUGGUCACUCGAAGCUUUUAAGUGUGAGUGCUGUGUAUCUGGGUUAAUGGCUGGUGAAGCCUAACCAACGCAGUUGUUUUUGAAGUGUGCACUUCCAAGUGUGUUUAAUUCACUGAGUGUGACUCCGCAGCGCGUGGAGUCGACGCACGCGCACACUGACUCUCACGCGUAAGAUUGAAAUUCGCUCGGCGCCCUGGAAAGUGAUAAAUCUUAAACGGGUGCGUUUAGCUGUAAGUGAUACUACUAAGUAGUGGAUUUCCUCCUGGCACACGCGUAACGACCACACAGCACAUCAGCUCACGGUCAUGUUGGACUGAACUGGUGAACAAUAACUCCCGCUACGCUAUACUCUCACUACUGACUUAACGGUUAAGCUUCCUGCUAUAAUCCUGUCCUGUGCAGACAUUGGAUGUAUAAAACUGUGUGACAUCAAUAGUCGAUAACUAGAAUUUCAAUUUUGGAUUUAAAAUGAUAGAGUUAUGCAUUUUUGAAGUUUGGAAAAAUUACUUGAUCAAGUGGUAUAGGUCAAAGUGACCAUAAUGUAACCUCAUAUCACAUUUCGAAAAAAAGUUGAAAAUUACGCUCUCCACUCCAAACAUCAAGUUAUAGUAGACAGCAUUGAACUUUGAUGGUACAACUUGGAAAUCUUCAUAUACAAACAAUUGAGAAAGUUAUGUGCCAUUAGGAAAAUUGACUUUCCAAAUUAGGAGUUUAACAACAUGACCUAAUAAUGUUUCAAUAUAAGAAAAUGAAUUUUCCAAGAAAACUAGAUUCAGGAUAACAUGAAAGUCGUUUGGAAUGUCAUUUAGGGUAAGUUUCUCCUUGAGAUCAUUUUCAAUAAUGGUGAAAAGUGUAAUUAGAUAGGGUCUAGGGAGCACGCAUCUUUAAUCAGCAUGAAUCCAUCUGGCCAACCACCAUCAACCAACUCGCUAAUCAAUCCCAAUUCUUUAUCUUUCUCUGGCAUCAUGGUACGAUAUUAAUAUGCAAAAUUAUGAUGAAGUUUUGAAGUGUACCCCUUGGAACUUUGAUCAAUUGGUGAGAUAUCUUGUGGGAGACAUUACUCAACGAUACCCAGUCAAACUAGGGUUCCAAUGUAACCAUAACCCAAAACUCUGAAGAAAACUUGAUCAAUAUAAUAGUAGAGAACCAUUGGUGUCAACCCCGAUCUUAGGUUCUGAAUUUUUUCCAUUUUUUCAUUCUACAUUCUGGAACGUUGGCCUAAAUUUAUUUGCAUACAUUCAGACCGAAAAGGCAAACCGCCAUUCCCAAAUCCAUAUUUUUUUUAUAAACAUUGGUUAUUAAUCUAAGCUUUUUUGAUCAUGUUCUCUUUUUGAUUACAAAUGGAUUUUAGUUAUUUAAUUUUUUAAAUUGUCAAUUUCAAUCUUAAUUUCAAACUAAUCAAUUCCAAAUUCGACAAUUAAUCUUAAAUUGUUUUUUUAGCUAAUGAUCUUCAAGACUCUAAUUGAUUUUUAUUUCCUGAAUAAAUGUUACGAAAUGACUAUCAAGAGUAAUUUAAUCAAAUUAUCAGACUAACUUUGAUUUAAUUGGUUUAUUGAUUUUUGAUUUUAAAUGAAACAUUUAGAUUGACGUUUUAGAAGACAUUUUCAAAAUAAUCCAUAUCAUUUCUACCAACCACAAAUUCAUUUCAUUCAACCAAAUUCACAUUCAUUACAGCCAUUCAAAUGUCCAAAUAUAUCAUUUCAUUCAUUAACAAUCCAAUACUUAGAACAACCGAUCGUUCAAAAAAUCAACACAACAAGCACACAUCCCAUAUGCCCAUCUCAAUCCAUUUCUUUAAAAAAAAUCAUUUAGCAAUAACAUAAACCAUUAAUAAUAUUAACCCACAUCUCAUUUUAAGCCAUUAUCAUCAUUCAAUAAAUAUCGAAUUAACCAUCAAAGCAAAUUACAAUCUCAUAUCAUAAGUCAUUACAUGCAGAUAACCUGCAAUAAAAAGAAAGUACAAUCACGGCCAAGUACGAAAACCAAACGCGACAAGCACGCACGACGGCAGAAAUGCAAGCUACCAAAAGCAUUAGAAUGGCAGUAACACAACAGAGACGACAAUGCAAAACACAAACGAAACGCGCACUCACAUGCAAAGCUGAACCAAAUCAGAAAACCACAACCACCGACUGCAAAAUGGGAUGCGAGUCCGACGGUAACGAUAAAACUUCACAGAAACAACAAUCUUUAAGCGCAAUCAACCCAUCUCUCUCUUUUCCAUCCAAAGUGCCGGUGAAUCCCAAAACCUCACGCCUUUCAAUCUCUGUUCCCGCAUUCACAUUCUUAGCUCCAUCUCAGAUUUUGUAAGCGUCAUCGCUACACUCCGAGAAGGCUAAGACUACUUACAUAAGGCAAGGUGCUCCCCAAUGGAAACUUGGGGUGAAACUUUAAUGCGCUACCUCUUCCUGAGAAUUGGCGGAAGAAAGUCCUGCAACACUUGCAAACGCAUAACCCAUGCACUGAUAAUUGCCCAGUCAAGUCUAUUCGUUAGUUGGCGCAUCAAGAAAGCUGAAGCAUGUGGUUGUCCAUGUGCCGACCCUAUACCAAUUUCACGACAAUAAUGUCUAAUGCGUAUGGCACACAAUACAACACACUUUACAAAUAUCAUGACAAGAAAACCAUACACAGAAACAACGGCAACCCUCUGAUAUAUUAAAAGAAAGAACAAUAAGGCAAUGGCAAGGGGGGAGGUUUGGAGCCAUCCAUAACACCCGCCAGCUUAUCAAGGUUCUAGCAUUUGCUGCAAGGAUCUUGUUUCUUGCGCAGCAUGCCCCGUGUUUUCUCCGACCUGAUUCCAAUUUAAGCCGUUUUGCUGGACUUUCUUCUCACCAGCACUGCUUUUGUGGCUUUGGUUACAUUAGACUUUGAGAGAGCCAAAGAUUGAGGCUAAUCAUCCCUGUUGGAAGAAAUUGGGCGAUGUUAACCAGCAAUUAUUGACACAGUAGUAAGCAUAAGUGAUGCCAAGAAGUUGAUCCAUACUGCAGCAGCACCUGCUCAAUCACUUGCCAUUGGAACUCCUGGAAAUAUCACUCUCUCCUAUGGAAAAGACAAGCUGCAAAUUACCAGAAAGAUGUUUCAUCGUCAAUAUCCAAGACCGGAUGUAAAUAGAGACAUAUGGCCGAAUCCUGCUGACCGAAUCGAUAAUGCGGAAACUAUCCACCGGUUACCGGGUUGCAAAUUUGGGAAAACGUGGCAUCGCAACGCCAUUGUAGUUCUCAGUGACCUGAGCGACAGUACGUUACAAACAGCCUGCGCGCAAGACAAUCCGUGCAACCAAAAACCAGUCCCUACAUCAAAACCACCGCAAACGUUUCAUGACAGAACAAACCAUGCAUAGCAGCAGCAAACCAUUAGCCAAGCUAACAAUCAAUUUGCUAUAAUGACAACCAAAGCAGGACCAAGAUCCUGAUCAAUGUUUCAUAAACAUCUGUCUAAUCACCACAAAGAACAUGUUUCAUUUCACAGGAUGGUAUAGUAGAUCGAAAGCUUACCAGCGGAUGAUUUUGAUAUGAAUUACGUGGCAUUGUAACUCAUGAUUCUUUGGAGGUCCAUUGGACCGCGUUUCCUCAAGUGAUAUCAGUAUUUGCUCAGUAUGCCAAAGUAUAAUUUCUUAAGGAUGUUGCCCCCCUAAACAUUUGGGUAGUGGAACAUGGGAUUGCAAUGCAGAUCCGGUUGGAACUUCCAGAUUGUGACAACUGUUCGCAGAGAAAGUCUCACCGCAUUCCUAAAAACAUCAAUAGUAUAAAAUUGAAUUAAUUAAUCAACGUUGAAUGUGAAGAUACCUGAGAGUGGAGCCCUACCAGCGCAGAAGUACUUUCUUCCAUAGAUCAAAUUGAUAAUCUUAAUGCAAGCAUGACCGGCGUACAGGAAUGAAGUUGGGAGUCCCGAGAUUAGUCGUGAAGAUGUUUGAUCCCCAGGGGAGCAAGGUAAAUUGAAGGUGGUGUCAAAGUAACCAGAAAAACAUUGUGACAUCCGAGGCCGUCGAUGGAGCCCCAGUUUUCAAUCUAAAGGCACUGCAGAAGGACGCCGCCGUCAGAAUAAGAACAUAGGAAGUCUGCAAGUACAUAAAGUUGAGAACAAUUGGUCAAUCUAGUGUGAUAUAGCAGGAUACAUAACUUGAUUAAUUUAAGGAAGUAAUGUUCAACGUCAACUCAAAAUUUUGAAGGUGACGACAUAUUGAUAAGGCAUACCACUUGCCUUACUUUUAAUUGGCAUCCUGUAUCUCCCCACGUCUGAUCUUAUCCAAGUCGAGCUGAAAUAGCUUCUACUUUGCAACUUGGCUUCCAUUGUUAUCGAUCCAUCUACUGCUAACACGGUCGGUAAGCUCUCCCUAGGCCGUAGGCAGCAAUACCCUGGACAAAGAUCAAUACCAGCAGGCCUUGUGGGAGCCUCAAACCUCAUCCACUACAAAGGUACAGAAAUUUUCACUGCACUAAAAAACAUGCCAUUAGUCAAAGCGUAGAAAUUACCGUUCCCGAUUGUAGCAUCAACAGGACAACCCACCUGAGCACGAAAAAGCACUUCCAGGAAGUCUUUCCUCUAUUGAGGCUUUGGGUACCAAAUCGAAACCCUAAUCUGCAAAAUAUAAAUAGAGAAAAGAGACACAGGUGCGAGUUAGGAGAAAAAUGAGGCGGACAAAAAUUCCAACCAAGAACCCUAUCCCAAUCAGAAAUAGAAACCGAUUGAGAGAGGCAAGGGAGGAAGAAUUCGAGUCAUUACCUGAAGCCGUCGUCGUCGCCGAAGGUUGAGCUCUUACUAAGUUCUUUGAAACCAAAUCGUGAACCUGAGAGGUGAUGAAUGAUUGAGGUUUUGAGAGCAGGGAGAUUGAGAGGAGCGCGAGCGCAUUGGAGAUUGAGAAAGAGGGAGAUGAGAGAUGCGAGAGGAUUGGUUGAGAGAGCGAAAGAUGGAGCUGUAGCAUUGUGAGAUGGUAACGAUGAGGGCGAGCGAGCGAUGGAGAGUCUGUUGCUUCGCAUUUUUUUUUUCUUUUUUAUUGUAUAAAAAAUAAAAAACAAACAUAUUAGGCCACAUAAAAAACCAUUAAAUUUUUUUUUACUAUUAUCUUCCUUUGCAUUUUAUUAAUUAGUUUUUGUGUUCCCAAUCUUGUCAAUCACUUGGAAACCCACAGCCAGCGGCUAGGGUUUUUUUGGGAAUUCCUCCUCAUUUAAUUAGUAGCUCCAACCAGACUAAUUUUUUUGUUAUGGUUUUUAAUUUAAUCUUCAAUAUAUUCUGGUUUAAUAUCUAAUUGCUAUAAAUUAUAAAUAAUCAUAAGUGGUCUAGUGGAGAGGGGGUAGUUUCAUAAGUCCUUUAGUGGGAGUGGGUUCAAUACCCAACAUAUGGCGUUUUAUUUCUUUUAGCAUCAUUUUUUUCCAUGUUUAUUUUUCAGUAUAAUUUUCUCCCAGUACUCAUUAGUUUCAUAUUAAUUUAAUUAACACAAAUUUGUUUCUUUUAAUUUCAUCAUCCAUUCAAAACCAUUUUUAACUAUUAAAAGCACACUUUCUCGAUCAAUGUCGAGCCCAUUUCCCAAUACCUCGUAAGUCAUUGCUUUUAAGCACCGCCAUCAACCUCACAUAUCUUACUCCUGGCUUUCUACAAUGAGCCGGUUUCUCUUGCACUUACUACUCAUACAUUGCAUUAUUUGUUGUUGGGGCCAAUUUAAUUAUUUCACGAUUUUUGAAUCCCCUGCAAAAUGUACCCCACUCCUCCGAUGUGUAAUUAAUUUUGGUAACCUGUGGUUUUAUUUCUUAUUGGUUUGACUGGUUUCAGUUAGAUACUAACACAAGAAUAAACUCAACCAUUUCCAAAAAUAACAAAAUAUGACUCGAUCACAACUCGAGUCUUUCUCAAUAAACAAAUAAUUCAUUUCUCUCCUCCUAUUCUAUCCAUUUCUUUAAACUUUCUCAACGCUGACUUUCAAAUGUCACCAUUUUUUCCUAAUAAAAACUCAAAAAAUAUUUAAUUUAUAGUUAAGACAUUUUCCAUAAGAGUAAGUGGAACGUGGUGUAUAUCGCGCGACUCCUGAGACUAAGAUUCAAGAUGUAUAAUCUCCCAAUCCUAGCUUACGCCAUCAAUGCCAGAAUUUAUCCAUUUGUUUUCUCUCAAACACUCAUUCAAAUUUCUCUUAAACGUGCCAUCCAAUACUUGAUUCUAGUCUCAAGUCAUUUUCACACAAACUCCAAAAUACCUAAUUACUUAUUUAAACCACUUUCUUCAAUAAAGGUGGAAAUGGAACAUGGGUGUAUACCGUGGCACUCCUGGAGAUUAAGAUUCGAGACGUAUGCCUCGCCUAAUCUUGGCUCUCGCCAUCGUCUAAACUGUCAAUGACUGGUUUUCGUCAAACCCUUUCUCAUCAAACCUAAGAUACUAAUUCUUAUUUAACACUUUUUUACAAUAAAGGUGGAAAUGGAACUGGUGUAGUACCGUGCACCCUGAGGCUAGGAAUUCGAGAUGUAUCUUCGCUCAUCCAAGUCCUCUCGCCAUCGUCUAAAAUUGUCAAUCGCGUGUUAUUCAAACCUUUCUCAAAUCAAUUCCAAAAUACCUAUUCCUAUCUUAACUUUUCAAUAGAUGGAAAUGACAUGGUGUAUACCGUGCAUUCCUGAGGCUAGGAUUCGAGAUGUAUAUCUCGCUCAUGCCAAGUUCUCGCUAUCCGCAAAACACAUCCAACAAUAAAUCUUUUCCCUCGCCGCCGUGCGAUUAAUCAAAACCUUUUUCAUAACGAAAGAUAUAUUUGUCUUAAGUGAUACAAAAUAUGUUUCGGCCACGAUUAUUGAGUAGAGAUAAAUGACGGCUUUUUCCGAAUGUAGAUUUAUAAUCCGUUCGAUGUGUGGUAUGCGUCUACUCCUCAUCUGUUUGGGUAAAACAAUGUUUUGUCGUCGUUAAUACAGUAUAGCUUUCGCUAAAAUCGACCAACAAACAAACAUUUUUCUACCCAGAACUACGUAAGCCUUUAUUUCUCUUUUGAGAUACGUAGGAGCAGGAUUUAUAAAUUGUCGUGGCCCACUAAUAAAACUUAGGUUUAGUCUUCGUUAAAAAAUCCAAAAACAUCUUCUUCUUUUCUUUUGAUUCUAAUUUAUUCUUUUCCCACCUAAGAAUUUGAAAAAGCCAAUAUUUUAACUAACACUAUACGCACGGUUGGGUGUGUGGUUUACUCGGUGAGUCAACUAAAACCUAAUGUUUCCGUUGAGUACUAAGGACGAAACAUUGUUUUACCCAAAACAGAUGAGGAGUAGACGCAUACCACACAUCGAACGGAUUUAUAAAUCUACAUUCGGAAAAGCGUCAUUUAUCUCUACUCAAUAAUCGUGGCCGAAACAUUAUUUUGUAUCACUUAAGACAAUAUAUCUUUCGUUUAUGAAAAAGGUUUUUGAUUAAUCGCACGGCGGCGAGAAAAAGAAUUUGAUUGGUUGGAUGUGUUUUGAGUGAUAGCGAGAACUUGGAUGAGCGAGAUAUACAUCUCGAAUCCUAGCCUCAGGAAUGCACGGUAUACACCAUGUUCCAUUUCCAUCUAUUGAAAAAAGGUUAAGAUAGGAAUUAGGUAUUUUGGAAUUUGAUUGAGAAAAGGUUUGAAUAAACCGCAUUGACAAUUUUAGACGAUGGCGAGAACUUGGAUGAGCGAGAUAUACAUCUCGAAUCCUAGCCUCAGGAGUGCACGGUAUACACCAUGUUCCAUUUCCACCUUUAUUAAAAAAAGUGUUAAAUAAGAAUUAGGUAUCUUAGGUUUGAUUGAGAAAGGGUUUGACGAAACCACAUUGACAGUUUUAGACGAUGGCGAGAGCCAAGAUAGGCGAGGCAUACGUCUCGAAUCUUAAUCUCAGGAGUGCACGGUAUACACCAUGUUCCAUUUCCACCUUUAUUGAAGAAAGUGUUAAAUAAGAAUUAGGUAUUUGGAGUUUUGUUGUGAAAAAUGACUUGAGACUAGAUCAAGUAUUGAUGGACGUUUAAGAGAAAUUUGAAUGAGUGUUUGAGAGAAAACAAAGUGGAUAAAUUUGGAUGAUGGCGAGAGCUAGGAUUGGCGAGAUAUACAUCUUGAAUCUUAGUCUCAGGAGUGCGCGGUAUACACCACGUUCCACUUACAUCUUAUUGAAAAUGUCUUAACUAUAAAUAAAUAUUUUUUUGAGUUUUUAUUAGAAAAAUGGCUUGACAUUGAAAUCAAGCGUUUGAUGAAAGUUUGAAAGAAAUGGAAUAGAAUAGGAGGGAGAAAUGAAUUGAUUUGUUUAUUGAGAAAAUACUCGACGUUGGAUCGAGUCAUAUUUUUGUAUUUUUUGGAAAUGGUUGAUUUUAUUCUUGUGUUAGUAUCUAACUAAACAGUCAAACAAAUAAAGAAAUAAAACAGUACAAACUCGACGUUGGAUCGAGUCAUAUUUUUGUAUUUUUUGGAAAUGGUUGAUUUUAUUCUUGUGUUAGUAUCUAACUAAACAGUCAAACAAAUAAAGAAAUAAAACAGUACAAAAUUAUUACACAUCGGAGGAGUGGGGUACAUUUUGUCAAAUGGGGAUUCAAAAAUCGUGAAAUAAUUAAAUCGGGCCCAAACAACAAAUAAUGCAAUGUAUGAGUGUAAGUGCAAGAGAAACCGGCUCAUUGUAAGAAAGCCCAAGAGUAAGAUAUGUGAGGUUGAUGGCGAUGCUUAAAAGCAAUCGACUUACGAGGGUAUGGAAAUGGGCUCGACAUUGAAUCGAGAAAAGUGUGAUUUUAAUAGUUAAAAAUGGUUUUGAAUGGAUGAUGAAAUUAAAAGAAAACAAAUUUGUGUUAUUAAAUUAUAAUGAAACUAAUGAGUACGGGAGAAAUUAUACUAAAACAUAAACAUGGAAAAAAAUGAAUGCUAAAAGAAAUAAAACGCCAUAUGUGGGUAUUGAACCCACUCCACUAAAGACUAUGAAACUACCCCCUCUCCACUAGACCACUUAUGAUUAUUUAUAAUUUAAAUAGCAACUUAGAUAUUAAACCAGAAUAAAAGAAAUAAAACGCCAUAUGUGGGUAUUGAACCCACUCCACUAAAGACUAUGAAACUACCCCCUCUCCACUAGACCACUUAUGAUUAUUUAUAAUUUAAAUAGCAACUUAGAUAUUAAACCAGAAUAUAUUGAAAUUAAAAUUAAAAACCAUAACAAAAAAAAUAGUCUGUUGGACUACUAAUUAAAUGAAGGAGGAAUCCCAAAAAAAACCCUAGCCGCCUGGCUGUUGGGUUUCCAAGUGAUUGACAGAUUGGGAACACAAAAACUAAUUAAUAAAAUUGCAAAGGAAGACUAAAGUAAAAAAAAUUUAAUGGUUUUUUAUGUGGCUAAUAUGUUUGUUUUUUAUUUUUAAAUAAAUAAAAGAAAAAAAAAAUGGAAGCAACAGACUCUCCAUCGCUCGCUCGCCCUCAUCGUACUCACUCUCACAAUGCUCGCUCCAUCUUUCGCUCUCUCAAUCUCAAUCGCUCUCGCAUCCUCUCAAUCUCCCUUCUCUCAAUCUCCCAAUCGCUCUCGCGUCCUCUCAAUCUCCCUGCUCUCAAAACCUCAAUCAUUCAUCACCUCUCAGGUUCACGAAUUUGGUUUUCAAAGAGACUUAAGUAAGAGCUCACCUUCGGCGACGACGACGGCUCAGGUAAUGAUCGAAUCUCCUCCCUUCGCCUCUCUCAAUCGGUUUCUUUUCUGAUUUGGGGAUUAGGGUUCUUGGUGGAAUUUUUGUCCGCCUCCAAUUUUUUUCUCCUCCUCGCACUGAUUCUCUUUCUCUAUUUAUAUUUUGCAGAUUAGGGUUUCGAUUUGGUACCCAAAGCUCAAUAGAGAAACUUCCUGGAAGUGCUUUUUGUGCUCAGAAUCGGGUUGUCCUGUUUGAUGCUACAAUCUGGAAACGGUAAUUCUACAGCUUUGACUAAUGGCUAUGUUUUUUACUGCAGUGAAAAUUUCUGUAACCUUGAGGUAGUGGAUGAGGUUGAGGCUCCACAUAGGCCUGCUGGUAUUGAUCUUUGUCCAGGGUAUUGCUGCCUACGGCUAGGGAGAGCUUUACCGACCGUGUUAGCAGUAGAUGGAUCGAUAACAAUGGAAGCCAAGUUGAAAGUAAGAAGCUAUUUCAGCUCGACUUGGAUAAGAUCAGACGUGGGGAGAUACAAGGACUGCCAAUUAAAAGUAAAUGCAAAGUGGGUUAUGCCUUUAUCAAUAUGUCGUCACCUUCAAAAUUUUGGAGUUGAGUUGACAUUACUUCUUAAAUUAAUCAAGUUUAGUAUCCUGCUAUAUUCACACUAAUUGACCCAAUUGUUCUCAACUUAUGUACUUGCAGACUUCCUAUGUUCUUAUUCUGAGGCGGCGUCCUUCUGCAGUGCCUUAGAUUGAAAACUGGAGCUCCAUCGACGGACUCGGAUGUCACAUGUUUUUCUGGUACUUUGACACCACCUUCAAUUUUACCUUGGGAUCAAACAUCUCACGACUAUCUCGGGACUCCCAACUCAAUUCUGUACGCCGGUCAUGCUUGCAUUAAGAUAUUCAAUUUGAUCUAUGGAAGAAAGUACUUUGCGCUGGUAGGCUCUCAUUCUCGGUAUCUUCACAUAUCAACUUGAUUAAUUUAAUUCAAUUUUAUACAUAUUGAUGUUUGUAGGAAUGAGGGUGAGACUUUCUCUCCGAACAGUGUCAACAAUCGAGUUCCAACCGAUCUGCAUUGCAAUACCAUGUUGUCCACUACCAAUGUUAGCAAGCAUCCUUAAGAAAUUAUACUUGCAUACUGAGCAAAUACUGAUAUCACUUGAGGGAAACGUCGUCCAAUGACCUCCAAAGAAUCAUGAGUUACAAUGCCACUAAUUCAUAUCAAAAUCAUCCGCAUGAGUAAGCUUUCCGACUACUAUACCAUCCUGAAAUGAACAUGUUCUUUGGGUGAUAGACAUGAUUUUAAUGAAACAUUGACUCAGGAUCUUGGUCCAUGCUUUGUUUGUCAUAUAGCAAAUGAUUGUUGGCUUGGUAUGUUUGCUGCUGCUAUGCAUGUUUUUCUGUCAUGAAAGUUUUGCAGGUGGUUUUGAUGUAGGACUGGUUUUGGUGCAGGAUUGGUCUUGGCGCAGGCUGUUGUAACGUACUGUCGUAGAGUCACGAGAACUACAAGGCAGUUGAGAUGCACGGUUUUCCCCAAAUUUGGCAACCCGGUAAGUGGUGAUAGUUUCCGCAUCAUCGAUUUUGGUAGCAGGAUUCGCCAUUGUCUCUAUUAACUCGUCUUGGAAUUUGAUGAACAUCUUUCUGGUAUUUGCAGCUUGCUUUUCCAUAGGAGAGAGUGAUAUUCCAGGAGUUCCAAUGGCAAGUGAUUGAGCAGGUGCUGCUGCAGAUGGAUCAACUUCUUCAUCACUUAUGCUUACUACUGUGUCAAUAAGUUGCUGGUUAACAUCCCCAAUUUCUUCCAACAGGGCAUGAUUAGCCUCAAUCCUUGGCUCUCUCAAAGUCUAAUGUAACCAAAGCCACAAAAGCAGUGCUUUGUAGAAGAAAGUCCAGCAAAACGGCUAAAGUUGCAAUCAUCGAGAAAACACGGCAUGCUGGCAUAGAAACAAAUGAUCCUGCAGCAAAUGCUAGAACCUUGAUAAGCUGGCGGGUGUUAUGGAUGGUCCAACCUCCCCCAUUGCAUUGCUUAUUUGUUCUUCUUUUAAUAUAUCAGAGGGUUGCCGUUGUUUCUGUGUAUUGUUUUCUUUGUCAUGAUAUUUAACAGUUGUUGUUGGUGCCAUACGAUUGACAUUAUUGCUUCGUGAAUUGGUAGGGUCGGCAAUGGACAACCACAUGCUUGCUUUCUUGAUGCGCCAACUAACGAAUAGACUUGGACGCGUAUCAUGGCAUGGAGUUAUGGUUGCAAGUGUGCAGACUUUCUUCCGCCAAUCUCAGGAAAGAGGUAGCCGGCUUAAAGUUUACCCAAGUUUCCAUUGCGGGAGACCCUUGCCUUGUAAGUAGUCUUAGCUUCUCGGAGUGUAGCGAUGCGCUUACAAAUUCUGGAUGGAGCUAAGAAUGUGAAUGCGGAAAAAGAGAUUGAAAGCGUGAGGUUUUGGAUCACCGGCACUUUGGAUGGGAAAAGAGGAGAGUGGGUUUGAUUGCGUUAAAGAUUGUUGUUCUGUGAGUUUUGUUACCGUCGGACUCGCAUCGCCAUUUUGCAGUCGGUGGUUGGCUCGUGAUUUUGGUUCAGCUUUGCAGUGUGAUUGCGGUUUCGUUUUGUUUUGCAUUGUCGUCUCUGUUGUGUUACUGCCAUUUUGCUUUUGGUAGCUGCAUUUUGCCUCGUGCUGCGUUGUCGCGUUUGGUUUUCGUACUUGGCCUGUGAUUGUACUUUUUUUUUAUUGCAAUUUUAUCUCAUGUAACUUAUGAAUAUGGAUAUGUAAAUUUGCUUUGAAAUGGGUAAUUGGAUAUUGGUAUUGAAUGGAUAAUGGCUUUAAAAAUUAGAUGUGGGUUAAUAUUAUUAAUGGUUUAUGUUAUGCAUAUGAUUUUUUUAAAAGAAUGGAUAUGGAGAUGGAUAUGGGAUUUGUUUUUGUUAUUUUUUUUGACAUGGUUAUUCUAAAGUAAUUGGAUUGUUAAUGAAUGAAAUGAUUAUUUGGACAUUUGAAUGGUGUAAUGAAUGUUUGAAUUUGGUUUGAAUGAAAUGAAUUUGUGGUUGUAGAAUGGGAUUGGAUUAUUUUGAAAUAGUCUUAAAACGCAUCUAAAUGUCAAUUUAAAAUCCAAAAAAAUCAAUAAAACAAUUAAAAUCAAAUUAGUCCAUUAAUUUGUUAAAAUUACUUUGAUAUCAAUUCUAACAUUUAUUCGAAAAUAAAAAUCAAUUAGAGUUUGAAUCAUUAGUAAAAAAAACAAUUAAGAUUAAUUCGAAAUUUGGAAUUAGAUUUAGUUUGAAAUUAAAUUGAAAUUGACAAUUAAAAAAUUAAAUAACUAAAAUCCAUUUUGUAAUCAAAAAGCAACAUGAUCAAAAAGCUUAGAUAAUAACCAAUGUUUAUAAAAAAAAUAUGGAUUUGGGAAUGGACGGUUGCCUUUGGUCAUGAAUGUAUGCAAAUAAACUUUAGGCCAAGUUCCAAAUGAAAAAUGAAAAAAUGGAAAAAAUUCAGGACCAAAAUCGGGGUAUGACACCAAUGUUCUCUACAUAUUAUAUUGAUCAAGUUUUCUUCAAGAGUUUGAGGGUGAUUUACAUUGGAAACCCUAGUUUGACUGGGUAUCUUGAGUAACUUCUCCCACAAGAUAUCUCACCAAUUGAUCAAAUUUCUCAAGGGACACUUCAAAAUUCAUCAUAUUUUGCAUAUAUGAUCUACCAUGAUCCAAGAAAGAUAAAAGAAUUGGAAAUUAGCAAGUUGGUUGAUGGUGGUUGGCCAGAUGGAUUCAUCUGAUUAAAACUGGGUCUCCCUAGACCCUAUCUAAUACACUUUUCACCAUAUGAAAAUGAUUCCAAGAGAAAACUUACCCUAAAUGACAUUCCAAACAACUUUCAUGUUGAUACCUAGAUCUAGUUUUGCUUGGAAAAUCAUUUUCUAUAUUGAAACAUUAUAGGUCAUUUUGUCUAAACCCUAAUUUGAAAGUCAAUUUCCUAAGGCCAUAACUUUCUCAAUUUUUAUCAUAUGAAAGAUUUCCAAGUUGUACAAUCAAAUUCAAUGUGUCUACUUCAACUUUGAUGUUUGGAGUGGGAGCUAAUUCAACUUUUUUGAAAAUGUGAUAUGAGGUUACAUUAUUGGUCACUUUUGACCUAUACCAUUGAUCAAGUAAUUUUUCCAAACUUCAAAAAUGCAUAACUCUAUCAUUUUAAAUCCAAAUUGAAAUUCUAGUUAUCAGACUUUGGAUGUCACACAGGUUGUUAUGACAUCCAAUUCUGCACAGACAGGGAUUAUGCAGAACUUAACAGUAAGUGCAGUAAAUAACACAAGUAAUUGUUCACCCAGUUCAGUCCAACAUGACCUACAUCUGGGGGCUACCAAGCCAGGGAGGAAAUCCACUAUUAGUAGUAUCAAUUCAAAGCUAAACUCACCCGUUUACAACUUAUCACUUAAUCCCUACCCAAUGCAAUUUCAAUCUUAACCUAAGAUCAGAGUUCCUACUCACUCCCCCUCAAUCACCUCAGUGAUAUUAAAGACACUUUGAAGUCACACUUCAAAAACAACUCUUGAUUAUGCUUCACAGCUUAAAUCAAGAUACACAGCACUCACGCUUAAAAGCUUUGAGUGACACAACACUUACAACUCAAUGAACACCCUAUGCCAAAGCAAUCAUCUACUUGAUAAUGGCUUGGCUUACAAGAUACGUCUAAUACAAGACUCACAAAAUACAGCAGUGAAGUAUGAUGGACACACUAACUCUUCACGCUUCAAAAUCCCCGAAACUGAAUGAAGGAAUGCCUUCCUUUUUAUAUUGCAGCACCUGGGCUUUUGCACCUGUAUUUUCCUGAAUUUUAGGUCACACAAGUUCCCUCAAAUUCAACAUUUAGGUUGCUAACAAAUAGGCUAUUUGUUAGGUUCAUUGAAUGUAGCUUGGUUGUUGAUUUCCUGGAUUUUCUCUCAGCUGUUGAAUCCCUAAAGAAUAGCCUGAGAAAAAGCUGAAACAGAAAACUGAACAACCUACAAUUUAGCAUAUGCUGUCAGGCACGAAUGUCACGACAUUCAGCUUGACAUCAAGGUCCAUAUGCUGAGUCUGUUUUUCCAGAAAACAGACUGUACAAUUUGCUGACCUGUACAUGAUCAAAAUGACCAUACUACAGUAACAGCUUACAUUAGUAAAUGUCAAAGUGUCCAACUUAACAUUUACACAUUUGGCCUUAAGUUAGUUCUGUUAUUCUCUUGAAGAACAAACUAAGUUAUAUGCUGAAGUAUAGCAGAACACCACUCUGCCUAAUCUUCAGUAGCUGCUGUCAAUGAUGAAUGUCAUAACAUCCAGUUUGACAUUCAGUCAGUAGGCCUUAUGCCAGGUCUGGUUCUUCCUUGAUAACCAGACUGCAAAUGAAUACUAAGUUCUAACAGAACUUCUGUUCCUUAGUAUCUGUUGACAGGUAUGAAUGUCACAGCAUUCAAAAAUCCUGUGUUAGCUAGUCCUGCAGUAACUACAAUGUAGUCACAUAUACAUGUCAUGACAUCAGUCAAGACAUUAGUGUUUUACCAUAUAAUGCAGCCAAUUAAACACCUACAAACUCCCCCUUUGGCAAAUUUUUGGCUAAAACACUUUGAUCCCCAUAACAGAGUUCAUAGCAGCGGAAACACUCACCUAGCAGGAAAUAAUACUAGCUAAAAACACUCAGAGUGGCAGCACACUCACACACAUGGAAGUUAAAUAAAAACUUCACAUAGCAGCACACACAUAUUAGAAGUUGCACCUAAACUUCAAUAUCAGCUGCAGGGGGGGAAAUCUGUCGUCCUGAGAGUCUGCUGUAGAGACACUCACUCUGUUUAGGGGUUACUCCCCCUUUUUAUCAAAAACGUUGCCAAGGCCAACAACAUUACCAGAGGAUAACGACCGAGUUACAGACUUGGUUUUACUUCAUAGUUUCAACCAAGUUAACAUCCACUUGAUCUUGCUUCACAGCUUCGAUCAAGCAAUCACCCACUUUUGCUUUACAGUAGGUACCACCAUAUCAGAUGCCAUGAUUUUGUUUCUGACAUCCAGAACAACUCCUGCAUGAACAGCAUCCUUGAACUCCUGCAGGUACAUUGGCCUUCUCACAGUAGGGUGUCUCCUUACCCUCUUGUAUCCACCCUUGUUGCAAGUAGAAUAGCUAUGAUCUGGUGACCAAUCAUAGCCUAGUACAAAUUGUUUAAUAGGCAGAGAUAUUAAACAAUUUAUCCCAAACAUCAGUGGUAGCUAUAAGGUCUCAGAGAGACAUAUUCCCAGUUUGCUCCUUAAAUUUUCAAAUUGAGUAGCAUCCAGCGCCUUUGUAAAUAUGUCAGCCAGUUGAAGCUCCGUGGCUACAUGUUCCAAAGUGAUCACCUUAUCUUCCACCAGAUCUCGGAUGAAGUGGUGCCUAAUGUCAAUAUGUUUGGUCCUGCUGUGUUGGAUGGGAUUCUUGGAGAUGUUGAUGGCACUGAGAUUAUCACAGAACAAUGUCAUCACAUUUUGAGUGACAUUGUACUCAGUGAGCAUCUGUUUCAUCCAAACCAGUUGGGAGCAACUGCUUCCAGCAGCUAUGUAUUCAGCCUCUGCAGUGGACAGAGAAACACAAUUCUGCUUCUUGCUGAACCACGAUAUGAGGUUUUCUCCUAAGAAGAAACAUCCACCUGAUGUGCUUUUUCUGUCAUCAGCACUUCCAGCCCAAUCAGCAUCACAGUACCCAGAUAGGACAGGCUCAGACCCAUGUGAAUACAGCAUCCCAUAGUCACAUGUCCCAUUGAUGUACUUGAGAAUCCUUUUGACUUGAUUCAAGUGGCUCACCUUGGGCUCUGCUUGGUAUCUGGCACAUACUCCAACUGCAUAAGAAAUGUCAGGUCUACUUGCAGUUAGAUACAGCAGACUACCUAUCAUGCUUCUGUACAGGCAUUGAUCAACACUAGGCCCUCCAUCAUCUUUGGUUAACUUCAGAUGAGUAGGAGCAGGAGUCCUCUUGUGCCUGGCAUGAUCCAUACCAAACUUCUUAACUAUGUUCUUGGCAUACUUGCUUUGGGAGAGAAACAUAGAGUCCUCCAUUUGGUUUACUUGCAUUCCAAGGAAAUAGGUCAGUUCUCCCACUAGACUCAUUUCAAACUCAGACUGCAUCUGGUGAACAAAUUUUUUAACCAUUUGUUCUGACAUUCCACCAAAGACUAUAUCAUCAACAUAGAUUUGAGCUAUCAUGAUUUUGCCUUCUUCAUCCUUCACAAACAAGGUUUUAUCUAUGCCACCCUUUCUGUAUCCAUUUGAGGUCAGAAAUUCGGUUAACCUUUCAUACCAAGCUCUGGGUGCUUGCUUCAACCCAUACAAGGCUUUCUUCAACUUGUAUACAUGCUCAGGUUGGUUAGGAUCACAGAACCCUUUGGGUUGUUCCACAUAGACUUCUUCAUUCAGGUAGCCAUUCAAGAAUGCACUCUUCACAUCCAUUUGGAAUAGCUUAAACUUCAGGAUGCAUGCUACCCCCAACAGCAAUCUGAUGGACUCAAGUCUAGCCACAGGAGCAAAUGUCUCAUCAAAGUCUACUCCUUCAACUUGAGUGUAUCCUUGAGCUACUAGUCUUGCUUUAUUUCUAGUAAUUACUCCUUUCUCAUCAGAUUUGUUUUUGUAGAUCCACUUGGUACCAAUGAUGUUGGACCCUUCAGGUCUUGGAACCAGCUCCCAUACUUCAUGCCUUGUGAACUGCUCGAGUUCCUCUUGCAUGGCAAUGAUCCAGUAUUCAUCAGUCAGGGCUUCUUUCACAUUCUUUGGUUCAACCUUGGAAACAAAGCAGGAAUUUGAGUUUAUUCCUCUUGACCUGGUAGUUACACCACUGGUGGGAUCCCCUAUGAUAAGAUCCUUAGGGUGGUCUUUCUGAAUUCUGAUAGAUGGCACUUUGGUGGGUGCCUCUACUUCACAUUCAGGAGGAGGUUCCUGUACUUCUUCAGACUUGACUGGACUGUCAGUUGGACUGUCAAGGAAUGUUUCAACAUCCUCCAUGACAUCGGUUCCUUCCUCUUUAUCAUCCACAAUGACAUUUAUGGAUUCCAUCAGGACAUUGGUCCUGUAGUUGAACACUCUAUAGGCUCUGCUGUUAGUGGAGUAUCCCAGAAAUAUGCCUUCAUCACUUUUGGGAUCUAGCUUCCUUCUCUGUUCACGAUCUGUGAGAAUGUAGCAUUUACUUCCAAAAAUAUGAAAGUACUUCACAGUGGGUUUUCUACCCUUCCAUAUUUCAUACAGAGUGGAGGAGGUUCCUUUUCUCAAGGUGACUCUGUUGUGAACAUAGCACGCGGUAUUCAUUGCUUCAGCCCAAAAGUGCAUAGGGAGCUUCUUUGCAUGAAUCAUUGCUCUGGCAGAUUCUUGAAUAGUUCUAUUUUUUCUUUCAACUAUUCCAUUCUGCUGAGGAGUUAUAGGGGAGGAGAACUCAUGGCUUAUUCCUUCAGAUGAGCAAAACUCAUCAAACUUGGAAUUCUUGAAUUCAGUACCAUGAUCACUUCUAAUCCGGACCACACAACUGUCCUUUUCCCUUUGAAGUCUUAUGCACAGAUCUUUGAAGACAUCAAAUGUAUCUGACUUCUCUCUGAUGAAGCUUAUCCACGUGUAUCUGGAAUGGUCAUCAACCACCACGUAGGCAUACUUCUUCCCACCAAGACUUUCAACCUGCAUAGGUCCCAUUAGGUCCAUGUGCAGCAGUUCCAGAACUCUGGAGGUUGUGGAAUGUCCCAGCUUUGGGUGUGACAUCUUGGUUUGCUUGCCCACUUGGCAUUCUCCACAGACUCUUCCUUCAUCAAUCAGAAGCUUUGGCAUUCCUCUGACUGCUUCCUUGGAUAUGAUCUUCUUCAUUCCCCGUAAGUGGAGAUGUCCAAGUCUUCUAUGCCACAGCUUCACCUCCUGUUCUUCCUUGGCUGAGGAGCAUGUUGUGGAAAAGUUAGAGAGAUCAGGUUCCCACAGGUAGCAGUUGUCUUUGGACCUGGUUCCUCUCAUAACUUCCUGAUUGUCACCAUUUGUCACAAUGCACAGCUCCUUAGUAAACUGAACAUGAAAACCUUGAUCACACAGCUGACUUAUGCUGAUGAGGUUUGCAGUUAGUCCUCUUACUAACAGCACAUUGUUCAGUUUUGGCACUCCAGAACAGUCCAGUUUGCCCACACCUCUUAUUUUUCCUUUGGCACCAUCACCAAAAGUCACAUAGCUGGUAGUGUGAGGUUGAAUAUCUACCAGUAGAUUUUCCAUACCAGUCAUAUGUCUUGAGCAUCCACUGUCAAAGUACCAGUCUUCUCUGGAAGAUGCCCUUAGAGCAGUGUGUGCUAUCUUAGCAUACCAUUGUUGCUUCUUAAUGGGAACACAUCGCUUAUGUGUUUUAUGCUUAGGUCUGACAUGUGAGGCUAGGUUAGGAAAACCAUGAAUCCAGUAGAAGAAGGCUUUUAUAUGACCAAGCCUACCACAGUGGUGACACCUCCAACCCUGGUAUUUCCUCUUCUGAUGAUCAUUCAUCCUAGUUCCUCGAUGUUGUGACAUUGGAGCUGACUUCCGCUGGUACUUCUGAACUUUAGCCUUUGGGCGUUUGUGUUCAGUUGAUGAUCUUUUCCCAAAUCCUAGGCCAGAUUUGGUUCCAGACUGCUGUCCCACCUUUAGAAUCUCUUCCAAGGUGUCAGUUCCCUUAUUCAUCAUUCUGAUGGAUUUUGUCAUCUGGUUCAGCUUGGAGGUCAGCAGGGCUAUUUCACCAUUUAGACCCUCUAUGACAGACAGUUGCUUUUGUCUCUCAUCUUCCAGUUCCUUGAUGAGUUUCUUCUGCUUUUCUCCUUGUGCACGCACCUCUGCACUGGUGUAACACAACUUCUUAUAGGCUGCAACAAGUUCAUCAAAGGACAGUUCAUCUGCACUUGAGUCAUCAUCAGAGGCACAAACACUGGUUAGUGCAGUGACAUGUUUGGCAGAUUCUCCUUCAGAUUCACUUUCAGAAUCUCCUUCAGACAGGUGAUAGGCUAGCCCCUUAUUUUUCAAUUUGAGGUAGAUAAGGACUCAUCUACACCAUACCCUUCACAGCGCGCGAUGGACACUGGAUUCGGCGCUGUGCCUGGUAAAUUCUCAUCUGAGUUGAUCUUUCUAAUGUCAGACGGAUGUUCUUGACAUUAGGUCUACCUCUGACAUAUCUUUCACGAACUAUAGACUGCGCUGUCGAGUAGAUGGCUUAAGGCUCUAUAUACUAUUUCGAUCAACCUUUAUAUCCUUGCUUCUGACUCCUCUUCAGUAUUGGAUACAAAAGCCUAUGCUUUUGUUCUUCUUCUCAGCAUAUCACUUAAGGCCCAUUCAAAGGUUUGGAGAGAGCCAUAUGAGCUCAUCCACCUUCAUGCUGCAGAUGUCCUGUGCCUCCCGACUGGCUUUGCCUUUCAUAGCAAAACCUCUUAGGCAAGGACCUGAGAAUCUUUCUUUACAAGUUUCCUCUUCAGCCAUUUUCUCACCUAGGUCCACAGAGGUGUUUUGCAAUUCAAGAAAUAUUCAUGUGAAAAGUCAUGAAUGUUCAAUCCUCUUUCAAUCCUCAGAUUUUCAAAUUGGUUGGUCAACAUCUGAAGUUUGGACAUCUUCACCUUGGAAUACCUUCAUGAGGUACCUGAGGUAUCCAAACUUCCUUAGCUAUUUCACAGUGUCUGACCAGCGCUGAAGUUAUGUGCUUGCUGGCAUCCAUUGAAAUGCAUUCAAGGCCUUGGAUUUCCAGAUGCUAAUGCCUCUUGGCUCUUGUCCCACCUCUUCUUCAGGAACUGCACACUUACUCCAUCUUCACCUAUUCCUCAUUGGAUGUUUCCGCAUCCUUGUGACAGUUCUCCAGACUGUGCUGUCGUACGAGUAGCCUUAAGAAGGCUAUCUACGCGGCUUUCAGUCAUCAUUAAGAGACCAUCCAACAUGGGUGCUAUUUGAGUGUUUUCCUAAUCCUUGUCCAUGGUACUUAGAAAGUAACUUCCCUAGAUCUCACCCAGAAAUCACAGGCAGGUGUUUCGCUGCUCUGAUACCAAUGAAAUUCUAGUUAUAGAUUUGGAUGUCAAAGGUUGUUUAUGACAUCCAAUCGUGCACAGACAGGAUAUCAGAAACUAACGUAAGUGCAGUAAAUAACACAAGUAAUUUUCACCAGUUCAGCUCCAACAGUGACCUACACUGGGUUGGGACCAAGCAGGGAGUGAAAUCCACUAUUAGUAGUAUCAAUCAAAGCUAAACUCACCCGUUACAACUAUCACUUAUCCCCUACCCAAUUGCAAUUCAUACUUAACCUAAAGAUCAGAGUUCCUACGUGCACUCCCCCUGCAAUCACCUCAGUUGAUAUUACAACUUGAAGGCUUACACUUUCAAAAACAACUCUUGGUUAUGCUUCACAGCUUUAACCCAAGAAUACGCACUCACGCUUUAAAAGCUUCGAGUAGUGAACAAACCUUAAACUCAUGGAACACCCUAUUGCCAAAGCUAUAUCUAUGAUAAUGGCUUGUUACAAGAUACGUCUAAACUAGACCACAAAAAAUACAACAGUGAAGUAUUGUGGACACACAAGAUCUUUCACGCCUCAAAAUCCUGAAACUGAUGAGGAACGCCUUCCGUUUAUAUAUCCAGUACCUGGCUUUUGCACUGUAUUCUCCUGAAUUUAGGUCACACAGUUCCCACAAAUUCAACAUUUAGGUUACUAACAAAUAGGCUAUUUGUUAGGUCAUUGAAUGUAGCUUGUUGUUGAUUUCCUGGAUUUUCUAGCUGUUGAAUCCCUAAAGAAUAGCCUGAGAAAAAGCUGUAACAGAAAACUGAACAAUCCUACAAUACAUAUGCUGUUCAGGAAUGAAUGUCACGACAUUCAGCUUGACAUCAAGGUCCAUAUGCUGAGUCUGUUUUUCCAGGAAAACAGACUGUUACAAUUUGUGACCUGUACAUGAUCAAAAUGACAUACUACAGUAACAGCUUACAUCAUAAAUGUGCAAAGUGUCCAACUUAACAUUUACACAAUUGGCCUUAAGUUAGUUCUGUUUCUUUUGAAGAACAAACUAAUUACAUGCUGAAGUAUAACAGACAACCACUUUGUCUAAUCUUCAGCAGCUGCUUUCAAUGAUGAAAUGUCAUAAAAAUCCAGUUUGACUUCAGUCAGUAUGCCUUAUGCCAGGUCUGGUCUUCCUUGAUAACCAGCUGCAAAAGUGGAAUACUAAGUUCUAACAGAACUCCUGAUGUUCUAUUCCUUAGUAUCUGUUGACAGGUAUGAAUGUCACAACGUCCAGUUUGACAUUCAAUAAAUCCUGUGUUAGCUAGUCCUGUAGUAACUACAAUGUAGUCACAUAUACAUGUCAUGACAUCAGUCAGGACAUUAGUGUUUUACCAUAUAAUGCAUCCAAUUAAACACCUACACAAAUGAUAUGAAAUUUGUGACCAUUUUGAAUGAAUUUGAGAGAGCUACAACUUUUAUGAAUACACUUUUCUAAUUUCAAGCUCAUAUAAAAAUUUAUGCAAGGUGGAAUAUUGAGACAUAUGGCUUGACACUUAGAAAAAAAUUGAUAUGUCAAAUGUUUCCAAACUUCCACCUCAAAAUUAUCCAAGUUCCAAGCUCCAAAUGCAAAAGUGUUGAACAUGAAAGUUGUUCCUCUUGAUCUCACCUUUCCGAAGAGCUCAAAUUCAUUCAUUUUGGACAAGAAAUGUAUAGGCUGCGCAUGGCUUAAACAAGGUGAUAUCACUUGGGAAGGAUCAAACUUCGAACAUCAAUGUGCAUUUGCCUUGCAAUCCAAUCUUACUUCAGAGCAUCUGAUAUUCAUUUGUGGAUCUCAAGAAAUCAUUUCAUGGGCCUGUGCGCACCCAUGCACCAUUACAUCACCAUUUGCCAAAUUUGGAAAGUGAAUUGGAGUCUAUAAUUAUCAACCAUUUCAGCUAUAAAUAGAGCUUCAAUUGCUUAGAAAUGAACACACAUUGGCGCCAUCUUUGAUCCCCCAUUUCAAAACCUCACUUUGCAAAGGAUAAGCCUGAAAAAUUCUUUUGAAUUUGAGCUUGAAUCUCCACUAUUUUGGAAUUCAAUUCUCUAGGAAUCCAUAGCUAUUUAACCAUUCAAUCCUUCUCCUGCAAGCAAGUGGAGUGAGACCAAGCAUAAGCAAGAUCAAGAUCCAUCGAAUCCAUACCUGCAUUGAAGGUAUUUUCCAGAAAUUUUGAACUCUUCGAUUCUCUCAAAUUCUUGCUCAAUUCUUUUGAUUCUUUGGUUGUCUGAAUUCCUAACAAUAUAGGCAGGAAGAUUGAGUUGCUUUGAGGCGAAAUCAAAGAAACUCAGGUCAUGUACCUAAAAUUUCAACUCAAUGUAUCUCUCAAUCUACUUGGAGUUGGGGUGAAUGGAGGUCAAAUUCGAGCUCAGUGCCAUUUUUUUUUUAAGAUCAUGUCCUUGUUUUUCAUUUUGGUGAUGGUUCAUGAUGGACCAGUCCGGUGAGGUCCACCGAAGAAGAUGACAGGAUCUCUGGCUCCGACAAUGAGUUGGCAAGGCUCUGAACCACGUGAUCCAUCCAUUACGGUUUAAUCUUGAUCGAUGGUUUUAAAUACCACCUGUGCAACGCUGUUGACUCAAGUCCAUGUGGAACUCGCGCUAGAGACCAUCUGAUCUGCCACCUCAGUUAAUGAAGGAGGUCAGAUGGUCCACGUAUUUUUGAUUUUCUGAAUUUUUAUUUUCAUUGCAUUAUUUUCAAUAAUUCAUAUUAAAUUCAAUAUUGAUCCAAAAUAUAUGGGACCUUCACCAAAAAAAUUCAAAUAUUUUUCUCUUUCAUAUUCUGAAUUAAAAUUAUUUUUUGGAUCAUUAUUAAUAUUUUUCAUGAAUUAAUUGAUUUUUCAUUUGUUUUUAAUUCUUUAAAAAUAUUUUUAAAUGUCCAAAAAUUAUGAAAUUUUUUCUCCAAGGUCCUUUGACCUUGUUUGACCUAUGAUAAAUUUCAUGGCCAUUUCUUUGGUGUUUUGAUGGGAUUUUAGGAAUUGGACAAACCAUAUUUAAUUUAAAUGCACUAUUUUAUUAUUUUUAAUUGAAUAAAUGCCAAUUAAUUUUGUUGACCACUUGUAUUGACUUGUUUGAGUUUGCUUAUUGUUGUUGGGCCUUGGUCAAGGUUGAUUUGACUUUUUCAAAUUAAUACCAUUGGAUUUAGGGGAUUGAUGGAAUGUACAUUCCAUCUCCCAAAAUGAAUGGAUGAUAUUAAUUUGGUAAAAGUCCUCCUGUAACCAAUUUGUGAUUUCAUUCAUCCCCUUCCCACUUCAUCUUAUUCCCCUUCUUCAUUAAUUCAUUCCAUUUGGCCUAUGACAUCUCAAAGUCAUAAUGCUAGUUGAUUGAAAAAUUAACAUGCGUAUGGAUGAGAUUAGGCCACACCUUUUGCAUAUUCUUUUUGUGUGUGGUAUGUUUCAUGAGCAUAAUUCAUUAUACUAUGUCUCUAACAUGCAUUAACACCAAAAUUAUAUUGCCCGGCCUCAAAUAAUUAUGACUUCUACAAAAGUCCAAUUACAAUUGCUUAACAUAGCGCUAAAUUUGUGACAUAAAAGGCAUAAGCAUUCUAGUUAGUGAGAUUGUAAGUCUCCCCUCAUUCAUGGUAUUGUGUGGAAACUUGGCCUUCUUUCCUUCCCUUGGAAGAUGUUUUGGUUCAUGGAUCCAUGCUUGUGAUAAAUGGGUUGAGUGUUCUCCAAAGAAUGUAUUGAAAUGAAAAACAAAACAAUACUAACUUCUAACCUACUAACUACUAACUUUUAAUUUCGAGCUUUUACUUUAAUGCAAUUUACUUUUAGCACUCUAUUUCAUUUGCCAUUGUUCAUAUCAUUCUAAUUAUUUAUGCUAAUACAAUUUUCACUUUGUCCAUUUGGACCAUAUUGUGUGAUAUAUUUUGUUUGUGUAUACUUUGCUUGUUUGUGUGGUCUUUGACCAUUAAUGUACAUAAUAACAACAAAGAACCCUAAAAAAGUUUUGAGUGGACUGUUGUCUUAAUCUUGGACAAAUGGACUUAGAAUUUAGGCAACCUUCUUUGCUAAUGGACUUAGCCAAUGCCAACUUGUUGAAAGAACCAAGUGCUUGCAAUUUGAAUUUCAUCUGAUGCAUCUUUGAAGACCUCCCUAAGUUCAUCUGCAACAUGAUCAUCAUGAAGUUGUUACUUUGGACCUGUGACUCGUGGAAUUCAUUUGUUACAUGGGCUAUUUUGAAGAAGAUCAUAGAAUGGAAAAGCUUGGACGAGGCCAUCUUUAUUUGAUGUCUUUCUCUUCAAGAUAAUAUAAUUGUGCAUUUGUGUGUUGUUUGAUUCUAAAAGUCCAAGGGAAUUCUAGGUUUCUAUUGACAUACUUGUCUAUUGGAUUGAAACCCAUUUGGUCAGAUCUUUUCAACUCUAAACUUUUUAAUUUUUGUACAUAGGAUAGUGUCUUCAUCUUCUCCCCAUUUAUUUAAUUUCAAAAUAUCUCCCUCCAUUUUUUAAAAUCUACUUUAUGUGAACUAUUUUUGUUCUAAACUUUGACCACUUUUGUAAAGAAGAUAGAAACUUUGGCCUUAUGCCAUUGCAUUUUCAAAAUUCUUUUCUUAAAUCAAACUUGUCAAUAAACUUAACUAUACUUGACUUAAACGUUCAAAAAGCCAAAAAUAAUUAACUCAUUCAAAUCAUUUUUAGGCCUUUGUGCCUUUCAAAUUUAAAUUUUGUUAAAAUCAACACACCCAUUCUGAAAUUUGUAUCAGGAACUGCGAGGUUUUGAUCCCUCAUUUUAUGUUGAUACGUAGACACAAGUCCGAAGGUCUUGUCAAACACAAAAAUAUAAUUAAUGAAUUCUUUUCUCAUCCCCCCAUUCUAUUUGUUUGUAAACAUCGCUUUGUACAAAAUACAUAUGCACACAAAAAGGGCUCCCUAGGAGUACCUAGGACACUUUGGGUGCUAACAUCUUCCCUCUGUGUAACCAACCCCCUUACAUGUGAUCUCUGACUUUUAUUUGUUUUUAUUUGAAAACUUACUUUUGGGCUUUGUUCGUACUUUUUCCCUUUUCCUUUGGAAACAAUAAAAGCGCGGUGGCGACUCUUGUUAUUUGAUCUCUAGCUUGUCAAUAGCUUGAUGAUCAUGAAUUUACUGCUACAGUAGUCUCUUCAUCUUCUCCCCAUUUCUUUUAUUUCAAAAUCUCUCCCUCCCUUUUCAAAAAUCUUCUUUGAUUGAACUUAUUUUGUUCUAAAACUUCGACCACUUUUGCAAAAAGAUAGAAACUCUGGCCUUAUGCAUUGCAUUUUCAAACUUCUUUUCUUAAAUCAAACUUGUAAAUAAACUUAACUUUACUUGACUUAAACGUUCAAAAAGCCAAAAAGAACUAACUAAUUCAAACCAUUUUUAGGCAUUUGUGCCUUUCAAACUUAAUUUUUGUUAAAAACAAUGCAUCGACUUUGAAAUUUGUAUCACGAACUACGAGGUUUUGAUCCCUCAUUUUUAUGUUGAUACGUAGGCACGAGAUCGAUGGUCUUGUCAAACACAAAAAUAUAAUUAAUGAAUUCUUUACUCAUCCCCCAAUUCUAUUUGUUUGUAAACAUCAUUUUGUACCAAAUACAUAUGCACACAAAAAGGGCUCCUUAGGAGUACCUAGGACACUUUAGGUGUUAACACCUUUCCUCUGUGUAACCAACCCCCUUACCUAUAAUCUCUGACAUUUUUUUAGUUUUGAUUUGAAAACUUCUUACUUUUUGGGUUUUGUUCGUACUUUUUCCCUUUUCCCUUUAAAACAAUAAAAGCGCGGUGGAGACUCUUGUUAUUUGAUCUCUAUCUUAUCCAUAGCUUGAUAAUCAUCAAUUUACCGCUACAGAGUAUGAGACCGAGGAGAAAAGUGAUGAAGAAGUGAGAGGUGAAUUAUCUCGUCUUCUUGAGCAUGAGGAAAGAAUCACUUAGCCGUUCGAAGAGCAGAUUGAACUAGUCAACUUGGGUUCUGAGGAUGAUGUGAAGGAAGUCAAGAUUGGGUCUCGCCUGUGUCCAGAUGUUAAGAAAUGGUUGAUUGACUUUCUUCGAGAGUAUUCAGAUGUGUUUGCUUGGUCCUAUGAAGUAAUUUCUGAUUUGGAUUCUAAUAUUAUGGAGCAUAGAUUGCCGUUGAGGCCAGAAUGCCUGCCAGUCAAGCAGAAGUUAAGAAGAACGCAUCUUGAUAUGGCUGUGAAGAUUAAGGAAGAAGUGCAAAAGCAGAUUGAUGCCGGUUUCUGUGUGACCGCCGAGUAUCCGCAAUGGGUGGCCAAUAUUGCGAUUGUGCCAAAGAAAGAUGGAAAAGUCCACAUGUUUCUCGACUAUAGAGAUUUGAAUAAAGCCAGUUCGAAAGAUAAUUUCCCUCUGUCACACAUUGAUAUAUUGGUAGACAAUACUGCUAAGUUCAAAGUCUUUUCGUUUAUGGAUCGAUUUUCCGGAUAGAAUCAGAUCAAGAUGUCACUCGAAGAUAUGGAUAAGACCACAUUCAUUACACCUUUGGGAACAUUCUGUUAUAUAGUGAUGCCUUUCGCUUUGAAGAAUGUUGGUGCAACUUACUAAAGAGCACUGAUUACUCUUUUCAUGAUAUGAUGCAUAAAGUGAUUGAAGUUUAUGUAGAUGACAUGAUUGAUAAAUCGAUUGAUGAAGAGGAAAAUGUUGAGCAUUUAUUGAAGCUAUUCCGGUGUUUGAGGAAGUAUAAACUCCGAUUGAAUCCCAAUAAGUGUACUUUUGUUUUUUGUUCCGGUAAGUUGUUGGGCUUUAUUGUCAGUGAGAAGGGUAUUGAAGUUGAUCCUGCCAAGGUUAAAGCAAUAUAAGAGAUGCUUGCGCCCAAAACUGAGAAGCAAGUCAGAGGUUUUCUCGGCCGCUUGAAUUAUAUUCCCAGAUUCAUUUCACACAUGACUGCCACAUGUGCACCUAUAUUCAAGCUUCUUCGGAAAGAUCAGUCUUGUGAUUGUACCAAAGAUUGCCCGAAAGCUUUUCACAAUAUCAAGGAAUAUCUGCUUCAACCUCCGAUUUUGUCUCCACCCGUCGAAGGAAGAUCGUUGAUCAUGUAUUUGACUGUGCUUGAAGACAGUAUGGGUUGUGUUCCUGGUCAGCAAGAUGAGACUGGAAAGAAAGAAUUUGCAAUUUACUACCUCAGUAAGAAGUUCACCGACUAUGAGACUCGGUAUUCUAUACUUAAGAAAACUUGUUGCGCAUUAGCUUGUGCUGCUAAGCGUCUGCGUCAGUAUAUGUUGAAUCAUACCACUUGGUUGAUAUCCAAAAUGGAUCCAAUCAAGUAUAUAUUUGAGAAGCCUUCUUUAACAGGUAGAAUUUUCCGUUGGUAGAUGUUGUUAUCAGAGUAUGAUAUCGAAUACCGAUCUCAGAAAGCGAUCAAAGGUAGUAUCUUGGCUGACCAUUUGACUCACCAACCAAUUGAAGAUUAUUAGUCAAUGUAGUAUGAUUUUCCUGAUGAAGAGAUCUUGUACCUUAAAUGAAAGAUUGUGAUGAACCAUUGCUUGAAGAGGGCCCAGAACCUGGUUCCCGUUGGGGCAUGGUAUUUGAUGGAGCUGUUAAUCAAUAUGGAAAUGGCAUUGGGGCAGUGAUUAUUACUCCUCAAGGCACCCAUCUACCAUUUACAGCUAGAUUGACUUUCAAGAAUAUGAAGCUUGCAUUAUGGGACUUGAAGAGGCCAUGGAUCUCAGAAUCAAGAAUUUAGGUGUCUUUGAAGAUUCAGCUUUGGUUGUGAAUCAAAUUAAAGGUGAAUGGGAGACGAAUCAACCCGGUUUGAUACCAUAUAGAGAUUAUGCGAGGAGGAUUUCAACUUUCUUUACAAAGGUUGAAUUUCAUCAUAUCCCUCGAGAUGAAAACCGGAUGGCAGAUGAAUUAUGCGAGGAGGAUUUCAACUUUCUUUACAAAGGUUGAAUUUCAUCAUAUCCCUCGAGAUGAAAACCGGAUGGCAGAUGCUCUUGCAACAUUGGCAUCAAUGAUUAUAGUGAAGUAUUGGAAUGAGGUUUCCAAUUUGAUUGUAAUGCGUCUUGAUAGAGCAGCACAUGCGUUUGCUGUUGAAGAAGUUAAAGACGAGAAGUCGUGGUAUUACAACAUCAAAUGUUUCCUCCAAAGUCAGAUAUACCCGUCUGGGGAAUCUUAGAAAGAUAAGAAGACUUUGAGAAAAUUAGCCGACAAUUUCUACUUGAAAGGUAAUAUAUUGUACAAGAGAAAUUUCGACAUGGUUUUGCUCAGAUGCAUGGAUAGACACGAAGCAGACUUGUUGAUGACCGAAGUGCAUGAAGGUUCCUUUGGUACUCAUUCCAAUGUACAUGCAAUGGCGAAGAAAAUCCUACGAGCAGGUUACUAUUGGCUGACAAUGGAAUCUGACUAUUGCAAGUUUGCGAAGAAAUGCCAUAAGUGUCAAAUAUAUGCGGAUAAGAUUCAUGUUCCUCCCAGACUGUUGAAUGUUAUUUCCUCCCCAUGGCCUUUCUCCAUGUGGGGAAUUGAUAUGUUUGGCAUGAGUGAGCCUAAAGCUUUAAAUGGGCAUCGUUUCAUUUUGGUGGCAAUUGACUACUUCACAAAAUGGGUUGAAGCGGCAUCGUAUGCAAAUGUAACCAAGCAAGUUGUUGUAAGGUUUAUCAAGAAUCAGAUCAUAUGUCGUUAUGGUGUGCCAAGUAAGAUCAUUACUGAUAAUGCAAAUGUAACCAAGCAAGUUGUUGUAAGGUUUAUCAAGAAUCAGAUCAUAUGUCGUUAUGGUGUGCCAAGUAAGAUCAUUACUGAUAAUGGAUCGAACUUGAAUAACAAUAUGGUGGAAGCUCUGUGCAAAAACUUCAAGAUUGCACAUCAUAAUUCUUCUCCCUACAGACCCAAGAUGAAUGGGGCUGUUGAAGCUGCAUAUAAGAACAUCAAGAAGAUUAUUUAGAACAUGGUUGUGACGUAUAAGGAUUGGCAUGAGAUGCUCCCAUUUGCUUUGCAUGGGUAUCGUACAUCCAUCCGCACUUAAACAGGGGCUCCCCUUUCUCUCUUGUAUAUGGUAUGGAAGCAGUGCUCCCCGUAGAGGUUGAGAUUCCUUCAUUACGUGUGCUCAUAGAAGCCAUGCUGUCUGAGGCUGAAUGGGGUAAGGCCAGGUUUGAUCAGUUGAAUUUAAUUGAAGAGAAGAGAUUAACUGACAUGUGUCAUGGUCAAUUAUAUCAGCAAAGAAUGAAGAAAGCUUUUGACAAGAAGGUCAGACCUCGGGUAUUCAGAGAAGGUGACCUUGUGCUCAAGAAGAUUUUAUCUUUUAAACCAGAUUCUAGGGGGAAAUGGACUCAUAAUUAUGAGGGCCCAUAUGUUGUGAAGAGAGUCUUUCAGGCGACACUUUGAUUCUUACAACUAUGGAUGGUGAAGAGUUCACUCGACCUGUGAACGCAGAUGCAGUCAAGAAAUACUUCGCCUAAAGAAAAGGAAAAGAACAACUCGUUAAGUUGAAAACCCCAAAGGGCGGCUUCGGAAAAAAUUGAGCGUUUCGGUGGAUUGAAAACCUGAAAGGGAGAUUCAGGCAAAAAUUAGAGACAUAAAACAGAAAGAAUUUCCUGAUAAGUUGAGUACCCCACCUUGGGGAAACUUAUGCAAAAAUUAGGGAUUAUGGCAAGUAACUGCAGUCUGCUGAUCUUCCAGCGUUGGAAAUAUUUUGUUGAGCACAAGGGUUGACAUUGAGUCAUCAUCCCCAACAGCGGUCAAGAGCAUAGAGGAUGUCAAGAGUUGUUGGAAGGAUUAGUGGUCAUUUGUAUUCAUUAUAACCCUUUCCAUGUAAAUUACCAUAUUCAACUUUGUAAAGAUCUAUGGAGUCUUGUCCUUUACAAACUACCAUUCUAUUAAAUAAAGUUGAGCUUUUAUCCAAUUGUUUCUACUCCUAUUUACUUCAGCCAAAUAGUGUUAAAUUUUAUUAUGAUCAUUUUUGAAAUUAAAAUUUUUAAUCAAAAAUAAUUUUCUUAAGCAUAUAAAAUCAAUUAAAAAGAAGUAUCAACAGCACUUCGAAGAGUAGCAAGUCCUUAAGUGUGAAGCAAUAAGGGUUUGUGGCGGUAAAUUCAUGAUCAUCAAGCUAUGGAUAACAAGAGUCGCCACCGCGCUUUUAUUGUUUCCAAGGGAAAAAGGGAAAAAAGUACGAACAAAACCCAAAAGUAAGAAGUUUUCAAAUCAAAACUAAUAAAAUGUCAGAGAUUACAGGUAAGGGGGUUGGUUACACAGAGGGAAGGUGCUAGCACCCAAAGUGUCCUAGGUACUAUUUCAAAUCAAAACUAAUAAAAUGUCAGAGAUUACAGGUAAGGGGGUUGGUUACACAGAGGGAAGGUGCUAGCACCCAAAGUGUCCUAGGUACUCCUAGGGAGCCCUUUUUGUGUGCAUAUGUAUUUGGUACAAAAAUGAUGUUUACAAACAAAUAGAAUUGGGGGAUGAGAAAAGAAUUCAAUUAAUUAUAUUUUUGUGUUUGGCAAGACCUUCAGACUUGUGCCUGCGUACCAACAUAAGAAUGAGGGAUCAAAACCUCGUAGUUCGUGAUACAAACUUCAAAGUGGAUGAUUGUUUUUAACAAAAAAAAUUAAGUUUGAAAGGUACAAAGGCCUAAAAAUGGUUUUAAUGAGUUAGUUCUUUUUGGCUUUUUGAAAGUUUAAGUUAAAUAUAGUUAAGUUUAUUUACAGGUUUGAUUUAAGAAAGAGAAGUUUGAAAAUGCAAUGGCAUAAGGCCAAAGUCUCUACCUUUUUGCAAAGUGGUCAAAGUUUAGAACAAAACAAGUUCAAAUAAAGAAGAGUUUUUAAAAGGGAGGGAGAGAUUUUGAAAUUAAAGAAAUGGGGAGGAGAUGAAGAGACUAAUCCUAUGCACAAAAUUAAAAGUUAAGAGUUGAAAAGAUCUGAUCAAUGGGUAGCAAUCCAAUAGACAUGAAUGUCAAUAGAAACCCAGAUUCCCUUGGACAUUGAGAAUCAAGCAACACACGAAUGUACAAUUAUAUUAUCUUGAAGAGCAAUGCAUCAAAUAAAGAUAGCCACGUCCAACCUUUAGCCAGUCCAUGAUCUUCUUCAAAUUAGCCCAUGUAAUAGAUGAAUUCCAUAAGUCACAGGUUCAAAAUAACUGCUUCACAAUUAUCAUGUUGCAGAUGAACUCAAAGGGAUCUUGAAUGAUAUAUCAGAUAAAGUUCCAAACUGUAAGCACUUGGUUUCACAAAAAAGUUGGCAUUGGCCAAGUCCUUUAGCAUAGGAAUGUUGCCUAAGUUCUAAGUCCAUUUGUCCAAGAUCAAGCCAACAGUCCACACAAACGUUUUUAGGGUUUUUGUUAUUAUUAUGUACAUUAAUGGUCAAUGACCACACAAACAAGCAAAGUAUAGACAUACAAGACAUAUCACACAAUAUGGUCCAAAUGGACAAAGUGAAAAUUGCAUUAACACAAACAAUUAGAGUGGUAUGAAUAAUGGCAAAUGAAUAAAGACUAAAAUUAAAUGACAUUAAAGUAAAUGGCUUUAAAUUAAACGUUAGAUGCUAAUGAGUUAGAAGUUAGUAUUGUUUUGCUUUUGCUUUUUAUUUGAAGUCAUUCUUUGGAGAACACUCAAGCCACAUAUCACAAGCAUGAAUCCUUGAGCCAAUACAUCUUCCAAAGGAAGAAAAAAACGCCAAGUAUCCACACAAUACCGUGAAAGAGAGGAGACUUAAAAUCUCACUAACUAGAAUGAUAUGCCUUUUGUGUCACAAAUUUAGCGCUAUGUUAAGCAAUCGUAAUUGGAAUUAUGUAGAAGUCACAAUUAUUUGAGGUCGGGCAAUAGAUUUUUGGUGUUAAUGCAUAUUAGAGACAUAGUAUAAUGGACUAUGAUCAUGAAACAUACCACAAACAAAAAGAAUAUGCAAAAGAGGUGGCCUAAUCUCAUCCAUACUUAUGUUGAUUUUUCAGUCAUUUAGCCUUAGGACUUUGUGAUAUCAUAGGCUAAAUGAGAUGAAUGCAUAAAGAAGGGGAAUGAGAUGAAAAGGGAGGGGAAUGGAUCAAAACUCAAAUUGUUCAAAGAAGGACUUUUACCAAAUUAAUAUCAUCCAUUCAUUUUGGGAGAUGGAAUGUACAUUCCAUCAAUCCCCUAAAUCCAAUGAUAUUAACUUGACAAAGUCAAAUCAACCUUGACCAAGGCCUAACAACAAAAUUCAUUUUGGGAGAUGGAAUGUACAUUCCAUCAAUCCCCUAAAUCCAAUGAUAUUAACUUGACAAAGUCAAAUCAACCUUGACCAAGGCCUAACAACAAGAGUCAAACUCAAACAAGUCAUCACAACAAGUCAACACAAUUAAUGGGCAUUUAUUCAAUUUAAAAAUACUAAAAUAAUACAUUUAAAUUAAAUAUGGUUUAUCAAAUUCCUAAAACUCCGUCAAAACACCAAAGAAAUGGACAUGAGAUUUAUCAUAGGUCAAACAAGGACAAAGUACCUUGGAGAAAAAAUUUCAGAAUUUUUAAAGACUUAAAAGUAUUUUUAAACAAUUAAAAAUAAUCAUAAAAUCAAUUAAAUCAUGAAAAAUUUUAAUUCAGAAUAUGAAAGAGGAAAUUUUUUGAAAUUUUUUGGUGAAACUCUCGUAUUUUUUGAUCAAUAUUAAAAUUAAUAUGAAUUAAUGAAAAUAAAAGGAUUAAAAUGAAAAUCAGAAAAUAGUAAAAAACGUGGACCACUUGAUCUCCCUCACUAAUUGAGGUGGUAGAUCAAGUGGCUCAGCGCGUGCGUUCCAUGUUGCACUGCAGUCAACACGGCGUAGGCUUGGUAAUCACAAUGGACGUGUGAGAUUAUAAUAUUUUAAAACAUAUCAAUGGCUCUAAACACUUCCAGCGCAUCGCCGGAGUCCAAAGGCCGGUCAUCUUCUCCGAUGACCCUGACCGGACUGGUUCACUCAUCACCAUCAAGAAAAUGAAAAUGGAGGACAUGAUCUGAAAGAAAAAAUGGCGUAGAGCAAGAAUCUGACCUCAAUUUCAACUAACUCCAAAUAUAUCAAAAUAUAUGAGGAGUUGAAUUUUGAGGUGUGUCAACUGAGUUUCUUUGAUUUGACCUCUAAGCAACUCAAUCUUCUUGCCUACAUUGGUAGGACUUCAGACAACCAAAGAUCCAAGAGAAUUGAGUAAAAUUGAGUGAGAAUCGAAGAGAUGAAGUUCUUACCCAGACGCCAUGCUCGUGAACAUGAUCUACAGGUUUUUACCAUGUCUGGCUAAAUCUUUCAAAGGUUAGAAUGUAAGGAUCGCGGUUAAAGAGAUGUUUCACAUAUUGCAUCUGUAGAAAUGCUUUAGGGGCUGCUUUGAUUCUUAAUUUGAGUUUUCUAAAACAAACUUGGAUAAUUUUAACUACUCAAGGAAUGCGAAAGCACCCUGGCUUAGUAACUAGGAAUUUUUAUCACUUUAAGGAAAAAUGAUUUUUGAAACUUUUUUCGGACGCGUUGAUAGAUUUAAAAUUAGGAAACUCCUUAGGUAAAAAUUUCUGAAUCAAAAUCACUUUUCAACUAAUCUUACAAGUCUUAUUUCUUAAAAAUAUGUUGAAUACUUUAGCGUUAUGCGCACCUUUUAUAAGUGACAAUAGAAGGCCUUAACUUAAGGGUAAACUCGGUUCUGAAUACGCGAAAGCGAUAGUUCCCGUUAAAUGGAUUAUUUUCAAGAGUAGAAAAUAUUUCCCCAUGAGUAGUUCUAUUUAUACAAUCAAAACAUCGUUUAACUGACGUGAAAUACAUUCAAGUGUCUCUUUAUCUGCACUAUGUUUAUCUUUUUCUUUAUUUACUGUUAUUUUGCGACAUCAAUAUCUCUUUUGUAGCGCCUUAGAUAAACAUCGUAACAAUAGUAAUUGAUAGAUUAAAUAUUUGGUCUCUAUGGGAUCGAUAUUCUUUUAUAUUACUCUGACGUGAUUCGUGCACUUGCGAAUAUAAUGAUCAAGUUUUUGGCGCCGUUGUCGGGGACCAACUUCGUCAAAUUUCGUACCCUGUUGUUACACCGUCUAAACUAAGGCAUUAUUAGCCGGUAAAUGUGAAGAACCCGUAGUACCGGAAAUUUAGUAUAUCCUUUAGCGGAACCCGAACGUUACACUCGUACAUGCCUCUUACUCAUCCGAAUUUAAGAAAUCUAUGGUCGAGAAUCGCGACCAGAGACCUCUUAAGGAAUUUGCCCAACCCUUUGACGAGAACCUAGUUCUAGUAUAGUAAACCCCUCAUUCCUGACAACAAUUUCGAACUAAAACCAUCUUUAGUGCAAUUAGUGCAACAGAACCAAUCCGCGGGUCUCGCUACUGAGAACCCAAAUCAACAUUUAAAAGUCUUUAUCCAACUAGCCAACACUUUUAAAUCCAACGGUGCUUCACCUGAUGUGAUUCGGUUAAGAUUAUUUCCUUUGUCACUUAGGGAUAGAGCACGUUCAUGGUUAGAUUCACUUCCAGCUAACUCAAUAACUACCUGGGAAGACCUUAGGAGAGUAUUCCUUGCUAAAUAUUUUCCCCCCAGUAAGACUGUUGUUCUUCGAAACCAAAUAACUAGAUUUACUCAAAACCAAGGAGAAUCACUUUUUGAAGCUUGGGAGAGAUACAAAGAAUUGUUAAGAGUCUGUCCACACCAUGGCCCAGAACAAUGGUUGAUCAUUCAUACCUUCUAUAAUGGACUCCAUUUUAACACAAAGAUGAGCAUCGACGCUGCCGCUGGUGGCACGUUGAUGAACAAACCUUACCCUGAAGCUUGUGACCUAGUUGAGGAUAUGGCCCAAAACCAUUACCAAUGGGGAACUAAACGAGCAUUAGUAGAGAAAAAGGAGACCCAAGGUGGAAUACAUGAGAUAAGUUCUAUGGACAUGAUGCAGGCAAAAAUGGACGCUUUAGCCCUUAAGGUCGAACAUAUUUCUACAAACUCUAACACCACAACGGUAGUCCACACAGAGUGUGAACUUUGUGGAUCUAAAGGACACCAAUCAGCGGAAUUGAACGACCUGAACACCGACCAAGUGAAUUACGCCCAAGGUAACCCAUUUUCAAACACUUACAAACCUGGAUGGAGGAAUCACCCGAAUUUUUCCUAUAAAAACCAGAACCCUAUCCAAAAUUAUGCACCUCAAAGACCACAAGGUUUUCAAGCCCAAAAACGAAAUCAACCUAUGCAAGUUUUGCCCCAGCAGCCUAACCUUGAGAAGAUCAUGGAGAACUUUAUAUCAGGCCAGACUCAAAAAAAUAAAGAAUUCCUAAACCAGAACAUUCACGUAAAUGAACUAAUAACGCAAUUAGGGACUAAGGUUGAUCAGAUCAUUACUCACAAUAAGAUGCUUGAAACCCAGAUCUCACAGAUAGCACAAAACCAAGUUUCACAAACUACACCUGGAGGACAAUUCCCUGGACAACCUCAACUUAACCCUCGAGGGUAAGCUAACGUUAUCGCAUUACGAAAGGGGGCCGCUUACGAAGGGCCUCGUAACGCAGCAAUGAGCGAGUCCAAAGCUUCUAAAGAAAGUAUACCUACCAACCAAGAAGAGGAACCGGUGGAACCCGAGAAACAAACCGACCAAGAAGGAGAAGCCAAGGAUAAAACUUAGAAACUACCACCCCCGUACAAACCACCAAUUCCAUAUCUACAAAGACUUAAACAAACCAAAAUCAAUAACCAGUACCAAAAGUUUAGAAAAGUAAUAGAGAAGCCAUCACCCAAAUUCCAUCUUACGCCAAAUUUCUCAAAGACAUCUUAACCAACAAGCGUAGGCUUGACGAUCCCAAACCCUUGGAAUGCAACUUUAUUUCCGAGAAUAAACUUGCUAAGAAGGAUCACCCAAAUUCCAUCUUACGCCAAAUUUCUCAAAGACAUCUUAACCAACAAGCGUAGGCUUGACGAUCCCAAACCCUUGGAAUGCAACUUUAUUUCCGAGAAUAAACUUGCUAAGAAGGAGAAAGACUCUGGGAGUUUUUCUAUACCUUUCAUUCUAGGGAGUCAUGUGAUCGAUAAAGCUUUCAUAGACUUAGGCGCUAGUGUGAGUUUAAUGCCCUUAGUUGUGUGUAAAAGGUUAAACUUAGGAGAAUUACAACCAACUAAGAUGUCCCUCCAAUUAGCCGAUAGAUUUGUUAAGUAUCCUGUAGGCAUAUUAGAAGACAUCCCCGUUAGGAUCGGUCAACUUUAUAUCCCAACAGAUUUUGUGGUCAUGGAUAUCAAGGAAGACGACGAUAUCCCUAUCCUUUUAGGUAGACCAUUUUUAUCAACAGCCGAAGCUAUAAUAGUUGUUAAAAGAGGAAAAUUAACUUUCGAAGUAGGAGAUGAAAAGAUAGAGGUUAUUCUUUCAAAGUUCCUGAUGGCACCAAUCAUAGGAGAUGCAUGUUACGCGAUUGAUAUCAUAGAUGAAUGCAUAAGGGAAUUUGAUCAAGAAGAACCUAUGAUCGGAGCAUUUUCAAACCCGAAUGAAAAGGAUGACGAGCCAAAGGAAACGUAACCUUACACUAACGAAUGUUUGGCCCUUACUCCUGACCUUUCACCAAAUUAUCAAAAACCAGCUCAAGAACUUAAGGAAUUGCCCAAGAACCUAAGGUACGAGUUUUUGGAUAAAGAAAUGAACCGCCCUGUAAUAAUUAGUCCCACCUUAAACUAAGACGAGAUAAACCAACUCUUAAAUGUUUUACGAAGUUCCCCUCUGGCUUAGGAUACAACAUCUCUGAUUUAAAAGGUAUAAGCCCAUUCGUGUGUGUGCACAGGAUCUCGCUAGAGGAGGACUCAAAACCUUAUAGAGAACAUCAGAGAAGAAUAAACCCUGUAAUGAGUGAGGUGGUAAAGAAGGAAGUCCUUAAACUGCUAGAAGCUGGUAUAAUCUAUCAGAUCUCUGAUAGUAAAUGGGUAAGUCCUGUACAUGUGGUACCCAAAAAGGGAGGCAUCAUAGUCGUGCAGAACGAGAAGGGAGAGCAUGUGGCUAAACGUAUAGAAGGAGGAUGGAGUAUGUGCAUAGACUAUAGGAAACUCAAUAAGGCAACUAGGAAAGACCAUUUUCCCCUUCCAUUCAUAGAUCAAAUGCAUUAGCGUCUUGCCAGACACUCUUACUUUUGUUAUCUGAAUGGAUAUUAUGGAUUUUUCCAAAUACCCAUACACCCUGAGGAUCAAGAGAAAAUAACCUUCACUUGUCCUUACGGAACCUUUGCUUACAGACGAAUGCCGUUUGGACUCUGCAAUGCGCCAUCCACUUUCCAACAUUGUAUGAUGUCAAUCUUCGCAGAUUAUCUCGACGGAAUUAUGGAAGUAUUCAUGGAUGACUUCUCGGUAUGUGGGUUUGACUUUGAGAAUUUCCUCAUUAAUCUUGAGAAAAUCCUAGAAAGAUGCGUAGAAGUUAACCUUGUAUUAAACUAGGAGAAGUGCCACUUUAUGGUUAAAGAAGGAAUAGUGUUAGGACAUAUAAUAUCUAAAAGAGGCAUUGAGGUCGACAAAGCAAAGAUAGAAGUGAUAGAAAACCUCAACCCUCCUAAGAUUGUUAGAGAAGUCCGUAGUUUUCUUGGACACGCUGGUUUUAACCGGAGCUUUAUCAAAGAUUUCUCUAAAAUAACAAAACCCCUGAUCGGCCUUCUGAUGAAAGACAUUAAAUUUAUUUUCAAAUAAAAAUGUAUCGAAGCCUUUAAUCAUUUAAAACAAGCGCUAAUUUCAGCGCCCAUUUUACGAACUCCGGUUUGGAUUCAACCUUUUGAAUUAAUGUGUGGUGCUAGCGAUUUCAUUGUAGGAGCUGUUUUAGGACAAAGAGAAAAUAAGAAGUUACAGGUGACAUAUUACGCUAGUAGAACCCUAGAUGCCGUUCAACUCAAUUAUACAACAACAGAGAAGGAACUCCUAGCUGUAGUUUUUGCAAUUGAUAAAUUUUGGUCUUAUCUUGUCGGAUCUAAGAUUAUAGUCUAUACAAACCAUGAGUCUAUCCGUUACCUUCUAAGCAAAAAGGAUGCGAAACCUAGGUUACUCAGAUGAAUCCUUUUGCUACAAGAGUUCGACUUAGAUAUCCGAGACAAAAAAGGAACAGAAAAUGUAGUUGCUGACCAUCUUUCCAGACUAGAGCAUUUGAAGCCAGACCGUUUACCUAUAAAUGAUGAUUUCACCUAUGAGAGAUUGAUAGCUAGGUUAGAUAUUGUUCCCCUUGAACCUGAUAGAGACAACUUGGGAACAAUUUAAGAGAUUAGCAAAGUACCAUGGUAUGCUGAUUUUGCGAAUUAUCUAGCCGAUGACAUCAUACCACGUGACCUCAAUUAUCAACAAAAAAGAAGUUCUUUAAAGAUGUAAGACAUUACUAUUGGGACGAACCACUCCAUUUUAAAAGAGGAACAAAUAAUAUCUUUCGACAUUGCGUCCCAGAAGAAGAAGUCAGAAAUAUCAUAGAGCAUUGUCACUCUUCACCCUAUGGUGGAUAGUCAAGCACAUCUAAGACAUACGCUAAGAUCCUUCAAGCUGGUUUUUAUUGGCCAACACUAUGGCGUGAUGUCCAUACUUAUAUUGUCAAAUGUGACUGGUGCCAGCGUGCUGGAAACAUCUCAAGACGCGACGAAAUGCCUUUGAAGAAAAUCCAAUAAGUGGAAUUAUUUGAUGUUUGGGGUAUUGAUUUCAUGGGACAUUUUCCAUCUUCGGUGGGAAACAAGUAUAUUUUGGUAGCCGACGACUAUGUGUCCAAAUGGAUAGAGGAUAUAGCCUCAACCACAAAGGACACAAGAGUAGUCAUCAAGAUGUUUAAAAAUAAUAUUUUCCCCAUAUUUGGAGAAACACGACUUGUCAUAAGUGAUGGUGGAUCACAUUUUAUAUCCAGGAUAUUCGAUAAACUCUUAAGAAACUAUGGAGUAAAACACAGAGUAGCAACACCAUAUCAUCCCCAGACUAAUGGUCAAGUGGAAGUAUCAAACAAAGAGAUUAAGCCAAUCUUGGAAAAAACUGUUUCAAUAUCCAGAAAAGAUUGGUCUGAAAAGCUAACAGAAGCAUUGUGGGCUUACAAAACUGCUUACAAAACCCCUAUUGGAACCACACCGUACCAGUUAGUCUAUGGAAUGCCAUGCCACUUACCUUUUGAACUUAAGCGCAAAGCAUAUUGGACCAUCAAGACCCUGAAUUUGGAUUACCUAGCAUCUGGAGAGAAGCGAAUCCUCGAUAUCCACAAAUUGGAGGAACUCCACCAGAACGCUUACGAGAAUGCCAUUAUAUACAAAGAAAGAACCAAACCAUGGCAUGAUAAAAGGAUUGUGAAAAAGGACUUUAAUAUAGGCGACUCUGUUCUCCUUUUCAAUUUCAGAUUACGGCUAUUUCCAGGUAAGUUGCAUUGGAGAUGGACAGGACCCUUUAAGGUUUCCAAAAUCUUCAAGUCUGGAGCAAUAUCAAGGAGGUGACAUCCCCACAUAAUGCCCUGGCCAUACUUUGAUCGACCCUCCAGUUCCUAGCUCUGAUAUACAAAGUUCAAAUCGUCAAGCUAACGAUGUUAAACAAGCGCUGCAUGGGAGGCAACCCAUGAUUUCUUUUUCCUUUACUUUACUUUUACUAUUUCAAUUUAUAUUUUGAUAUAUAUAUAUAUAUAUAAUAUAUAAUAUAAUAUAUAUAUUAUAUAUUAUAUAUAUAUAUAUAUAUAUAAUAUAUAAUAUAUAUAUAAUAUAUAUAUUAUAUAUAUAUAAUAAUAUAUAAUAUAUAUAUAUAUAUAUAUAUAUAUAUAUGUUUAGACUAACAGUUGCAAUGUUUACGAUUUCAGGUGUCCUCUAUUUUUAACCUAACUUUUUAGGAUGGAGAAUUUCGACACUAUGCCAGUUAUCUUUCAUGACCCACUACAGGAGCAACGCUAUGCCAUGCUUUCCCAGCCUCCAAUGCUGCCAACCAGAUAAUCUGACUCAAGCUGCAUGGAGGCAUAGGAAUUGAGCCUAGUGUCAUGCAUUUGUGCAAUCAGUUUCAUUGGGAUGAGUAUACUGAUGUGAUGCAUGUGACUUACAGGAACCUCACUUUGGAUUUCUUGAGCUCACUGAACUACGAGCCCUAUGUUGGUCACGCUAGUGAUGGCGGCUACAUUAAUUUCAGGUUGUUUGGGAUAAAAUACAUCUUUAACCACAAGCGUUUCGGUGACUUACUUGGAUUUCAGACUGCUUAUGAUGCCUCAUAUGAGCUCCCCAUGAGCUAUUUCCUGAGUAGAGACGUUGAGAAGUUCUGGAGUGACAUUACAUGUGGAGGUAGCCCUGACCCUUCCACCCAAAUCUCUAACAAGUUCCAUAAUCCUGCUUUCAGAUGAUUAUUGCCCACACCUUUCAGGGGAAGAGUGACGUUAAUACUCACGUAAGUGCUGAAGAUAUUUCCUUCAUGUAUUGUACCACUCAGUCACGCCCGAUACCUUGUAGAGCCUUUCUGAUCGAGAGUCUCUAUCUUAAUGCUAGCUCCGUUGUGAGUCCUAUACAUGUUGGAAGCACGAUAACUCAUAUAGCCUCCGCCCUAGAACUUGAUAGAAGACUAUUUCACCUAACAUCUUACUGUAGCUAUACUUUGAUGGAUAUUGACUUCUGUCUGGAUCGUGGCCUCAUAAGGAGAUCUUCUUUCCACCUGGAUCAAUACAGGCUCUUGUCGAGGGUGAGGCUAUCCACUACUUUACUUUACCAGACCCUCAGGUAACUUGUGUUUAUGAUCAGGCCAACUGGGCCUAUGCCAUAGAAGGCCAAGGCGAGAUAGUAGAUGAGCAGAGAAUCUCACCUGAAGCAGAGCAUCAUCCAACACCUACCAGAAUCAAAGUCCUCACCAAUAAUCCAAAUAUUCAAAGUCCAAACAUGCAUUCCGAGCUUGUUAAGCUUCAUAUGGAGAUAGCCCAGCUCCGCCAGGAGCUCGUUGACGUUGCUUUGCAGGUCGAAGUGUCAGAUGCCACACAUGGCACUAAAGCUGAUAUACUGAACAAUGAGAUCGCCGACCUUAGAUACCAGAUUAUAGAGCUCCGAGGAUCCGAUAUUGAGGAGACUACAUUAUUCCCUGGACACUGAUGAUAUCACCGACCAAGAGAUGCCGUUUGAUUUACCUAUUUCCCAUUAUUUAUUAUUUAUGCUUGUUUUUAUUUUUCCUUUUAACUUUAUGGUUGCUUUUCCUUUCCUAGGAUCUCUCCUCCUUCCAACUCCAUCAAAGUCCACGAAAAAUCCUAACUUUAUCAUUCCAACUCAAAACCAUUAUCAUUCCUAAACUUCACCCAUAAAUUUCCUACACCAAAAAACCCACUAAAACUCAAUUUUCACUUCCUCACCAUAACAACCCAUUUUUCUCUUCACUCACCAUCAAUGGCCAAAAUGGACUUCGACAACAUUAUCCUUCAUAGAGGAAAAUCCGGAGAGCGUCAAAACAAAAUUGUAUAAAAAUUGAAAUCACGGGAAAUUUCUAAGUUCCCUAAUUUACACUGUUCAUCCUAGCACUGCUAGCACGUCUGACACCGUAUAUUUUAGAGUGUUUAAUGUUGAAUACAAGUACAAUACUGAUCCUUAAUUGGAAAUAGGCAUAGCAGACGUUGAUCCCUAACUGGAAAUAGACGUAGUGGCUUGGAUUCUAAAUAUUGAAUCAGAAAGCGGUGGAAUGUUGGGUCCAUAUAGACGUUGAUCCUUAAUUGAAAAUAGGCGUAACAGACGUUGAUCCUUAACUGGAAAUAGACGUGGUGGCUUGGAUUCUAAAUAUUGAAUCGAAAAGCGGUGGAACAUUGGGUCCAUAUAGACGUUGAUCCUUAAUUGGAAAUAGGCGUAGCAGACGUUGAUCCUUAACUGGAAAUAGACGUAGUGGCUUGGAUUCUAAAUAUUGAAUCGGAAAGCGGUGGAAUGUUGGGUCCAUAUAGACGUUGAUCCUUAAUUGGAAAUAGGCGUAGCAGACGUUGAUCCUUAAUUGGAAAUAGACGUGUUGGCUUGGAUUCUAAAUAUUGAAUCGGAAAGCGAUGGAACGUUGGGUCCAUAUAGACGUUGAUCCUUAAUUGGAAAUAGGCGUAGCAGACGUUGAUCCUUAAUUGGAAAUAGACGUGGUGGCUUGGAUUCUAAAUAUUGAAUCGAAAAGCGGUGGAAUGUUGGGUCCAUAUAGACGUUGAAUCUUAAUUGGAAAAAGGCGUAGCAGACGUUGAUCCUUAAUUGGAAAUAGACAUAGUGGCUUAAAUUCUAGAUAUUGAAUCGGAAAGCGGUAAAAUGUUGGGUUCACAUUUCGGUACCACAUGCAUAGAGUCACAUGUCUUGCAUUGAGUCACAUUAGAGUUAUGUGAUAAUUGAGUGUAUGCAUUAUUGUGAUUGUGAAGUGUGUAUGAGAUAUGGUAAUUGAAUUUGAUGAUGAUUGGAUACAUAACUUGACAACAUAUGUGAUUAUGUGAUAAUUGUAGUUAUGUGUAUAUUUGAGAAUAUAAUAUUGGAUUUUAAUAUUGUACUCGUUGUGUUUGAUGGAUGUUUGAAACAUGUGAAAUAGAUGUUGAUGAAUAUUAUUUACAUGGUUAUAUGAAGUGUGAUGAAUUCCUUUAAUUGUUGAUUUAAUCAUUGUGCUUGAUUAUACUUAUUCAUAAUGAUUUGAAUUCUCACCCUUUCUGUUUGAAUGUUACCUUUACAUGGGUAUUGUGCAGAUACUCAGGAGCAGUAUUGUUGUAGUAAGUGAACGGUAGCACUCGAGGUUAGCUGGAGAGCUUAGGUGCUUUGUUUUAGAGACUAAGUAGUGAGCCAAUGCUCUGGUCAUGUAACACUGGGUAGAUUGGUAGUAUUGAACUCGUGUCUUAUUUGGAUACGUUUUAUGGGAUUACUUGUGAACAUGUUUAAUUGAAGAGAUUAUUGAGAGAUGAUCAUGGUAUGGGACAUGGAUCAUUUUAUGAAAUGCAUGGAUAUUCGUUAUUUUCCGAUGCGAAUGCAUAUUCUUGAAUAUUCAUGAUAAGUGAAAUGUGUUAUUUGAAAUAACCAGGUGUAUUGUAUAUUGAUGAUUAAUGAGGUUUGGUUUUUGAAAGCUUUUAGUUUUUGAAAGCUUUUAGUUUUUGAAAACGUCGAUGUGACGCCCUUUUGUUAUAUGCGUGCUUAUUUACUCUGAUUAUAUGUUAAGUAUUUUGGGGUAGAAAAUGGGUGUUACACUGUUGAUGUUCCAACAGUUGUCCAUAAGUCCACGUAAUAUGCUCACUUUUGUUUAAAAACCCUUCUCCCAGGCCAAAAGGAGAAGUGAUGACAUUGUUGGCACAUUAAUACAAUGAUAUUCAUUCAAAAAUUACAUGUUAAAUGUUUGUUUUUCCAAAUUUUUUUUUCUUUUUUUCUUUUUUGCAUGAAAUUGGUGAUCACUAAAAAGUCCUAAAAAAGAGAAUAAAAUCAGUCUUUUCAUCUGCAUAAUGAUUUUCCUUGUUUGAAUUCUAAAAUCUCUUUUAUAUAUAAAAUCAUUAUGCAUGUUGAUCAAAUCCAUUGAACAUAAUGAUCCAACACCAACUCCCAACUUUGAGUUCCCUGUAUUUAAGGACGAAGAAGAUGAUGUUGAAGAGAUUCCUGAUGAGAUUACCCGUUUGCUUGAGCACGAAGAGAAAAUCAUCCAGCCGUAUCUUGAGAAUCUGGAAACAAUCAACUUGGGGUCUAAAGAUUGUGUUCGAGAAGUGAAGAUUGGUGCACUCCUGUAAGAGUCUGUCAAGAAGGGGUUGAUUGAGUUGCUACGAGAAUAUGUUGGCGUCUUUGCCUGGUCGUAUGAAGACAUGCCUGGUCUAGAUACUGAUAUCGGGCAACAUUUCCUGCCUUUGAAGCCUGAGUGUUUGCCUGUGAAGCAGAAGCUCAGAAGAACUCAUCCUGAUAUGGUAGUGAAGAUUAAAGAAGAAGUUCAGAAGCAAAUUGAUGUGGGGUUUCUGGUGACUUCUACAUAUCCUCAAUGGGUGGCCAAUAUAGAAGCAGAAGCUCAGAAGAACUCAUCCUGAUAUGGUAGUGAAGAUUAAAGAAGAAGUUCAGAAGCAAAUUGAUGUGGGGUUUCUGGUGACUUCUACAUAUCCUCAAUGGGUGGCCAAUAUUGUGCCCGUACCUAAGAAAGAUGGAAAAGUCUGAAUGUGUGUGGACUAUCGAGACUUGAAUAAAGCUAGUUCGAAAGAUGAUUUUCCUCUAGCACAUAUUGAUAUGUUGGUAGACAAUACAUCUAAAUUCAAAGUCUUCUCAUUUAUGGACGGAUUUUCUAGUUAUAAUCAAAUCAAAAUGGCACCCGAAGAUAUGGAGAAGACAACAUUCAUCACACCUUGGGGAACAUUCUGUUAUCGAGUGAUGCCCUUCGGUUUGAAGAACGCCAGAGCCACGUAUCAACGAGCUAUGACUACCUUUUUCCAUGAUAUGAUGCAUAAGGAGAUCGAGGUGUAUGUUGAUGAUAUGAUUGCAAAGUAGAGAACGGAAGUUGAACAUGUAGAGCACUUGUUGAAGUUUUUUCAGCGUUUGAGGAAGUACAAACUCCAUCUGAAUCCGAACAAGUGUAAAUUUGGAGUCCGUUCCGGCAAGUUAUUGGGCUUUAUUGUUAGUGAAAGAGGUAUUGAAGUUGACCCUGCCAAGGUCAAAGCAAUACAAGAAAUGCCUGCGCCCAAAACUGAGAAGCAAGUCCAAGGGUUUCUUGGCCGUUUGAAUUAUGUUUCCAGAUUUAUAUCCCACAUGACUGCCACAUGUGCGCCAAUAUUCAAGCUCCUUCGGAAAGAUCAACGUCAUGAUUGGACCGAGGAUUUCCAGAAGGCCUUUGACAGUAUCAAAGAGUAUCUGUCCGAGCCUCCGAUCCUGUCUCCGUCUGUUGAAGGGAGACCUUUGAUUAUGUACUUGACCGUUCUUGAAGACACUAUGGGUUGUGUAUUGGGUCAGCAAGAAUAAUUAGGGAAGAAAGAAUAUGCUAUAUACUAUCUGAGUCAGAAGUUCACUGAUUGUGAGUCUCGGUACUCAAUGCUUGAGAAGACAUGAUGUGCUUUGGCUUGGGCUGCUAAGCGCUUGCGCCAUUAUAUGUUGAAUCAUAUGACUUGGUUGAUAUCAAAAAUGGAUCCAAUCAAGUAUAUCUUUGAGAAUCCUGCUUUAACUGGGACGAUUGCCCGUUGGCAGAUGUUGUUGACUAAGUAUGACAUUGAGUAUCGAGCUCAGAAAGUUGUUAAAGUUAGUAUCUUGGCUGACCACUUGGCACAUCAACCAAUUGAGGAUUAUCAGUUU
rnacentral:lncRNA from 1 species